rnacentral:lncRNA from 1 species
ACUGCCUUCAUCCUUAUCCAACUUGAUUUACCUCAAAGGGCUCUAUUUAAAUUCCUGCUCUGAGUUGAAAGAAAUCCGAUCUAGUGUAGAAGCACUUGAGCAUCUUGAGGUGUUGGAUAUUCGAAAGACCAAACUUAAGUUACUUCAAAUUGGAAGUUUAGUAUGGUUGAAGUGUUUGCGAUUAUCAUUGUGUAAUUUUGAUGUGGCAAACUAUACUCAAGCACAAGUGUCAAGGUUUGAUUUGUUGGAGGAAUUGACUAUUGAUGUUGGUUCAUUGGAAGAAGGGUGGGACAAGAUUGUGAAUCCAGUAACAAAGGCGAUAGUUAAGUUGAAAAAAUUGACUUCUCUUUGAUUUUGUUUCCCUAAAGUAGACUACCUUGGCUUAUUUGUUGAAGAAAGCCCUGUGUGGGAGGGUUCCUUGACAUUUCAUUUUGCUGUUGGUUACCAUGACUCCGCCAUUGCUCAUGUUCUUGAGUCUAUCGAUAAUCCAAGCUACAACAUCUUGAAGUUGGCCAAUGGUGAUGGUGUAAAUCCUAUAAUCAUGAAGGUGCUAACGAAAACCAAUGCAUUGGGACUAAUAGGCUACAAAGGAGUUUUGAGUUUAUCGGAUUUUGGCAUCAAGAAUAUGAAUAUGAUAUUUGAUUGUUUGAUUGAAGGAUGCAGUGGAAUUAAGACCAUCAUCUAUGGUAAUGGAACAUCAAAGGCUGUCCUAGAAUGGUUGAAAAAUUUGCACAUAACCAAUGUCCCAGAAUUGGAAAACAUUUGGCAGGGGCCUGUUCAUGUUGGAAGUUUGGCUCGAUUAACAACUGUGACAUUAAGUAAUUGCCCCAAGUUGAUGAAGAUAUUCACUAAUGCUAUGAUUCAACAACUUAUUCAACUGACGCACUUGAGAGUAGAAGAAUGCCAUCGAAUUGAAGAGAUUAUCAUGGAAUCCGAGAAUACACAACUAGAAAAUCAAGCACUUCCAAAGUUGGAGACCCUAGAACUCAUUCAUUUGCCACAACUAACAAGCAUAUGGGCUAAAGAUUCAUUAGAGUGGCCAUCUUUAUAAGAAGUUAAAAUAUCUAACUGUUGCAUGUUGAAGAGUUUACCUUUCAACGAGGUCAAUGCAACCAAAUUGAGAUCCAUUGAAGGGCAACAAUCAUGGUGGGAAGCACUAGAAUGGAAAGGUGAUGCCAUUAAACAAAGAUUACAGCCUCUUUGCAUCCUCAACUAGCUCCUUUGAUUUCAUCUCUUCUGCGUUUUAUUGUAAAGCUAAUCAGGAUAGUUUCUGCUGCUGAGACAAAGUAAGUUUGUGUGCAAGAUUCAAAAACUCUAGCUUGCACUUGCUUGAGAUUUACUAUCUUUUUCUUGUAUUUGUUUGAGAUUUGAUACUUUGGGUUGUGUUUGUUUAAGAUUUGCUACUUCAUAUUGUAUUUGUGUAUGAUUGCUUGUUGUUUGGUUGUUAUAUUUCCAUAUAUCUUAUGUAAGGAUAAUAGAUUGAAAAUCUUAAGCUCUAUUUGGUUCUAGAAAAGUAUUAAAGAAAGAGGAAAAUUAUUUUCUUUAUAUAGAGGAGAGAAAAAAAAAAGUAAAAUGAGUUCAAAAUAGCAAAUGAAAAUAAUUUAUCGACUUUAAAUUUUUUUUUUUCACUUUUCGUCUCCAUUUUCUUUCUCUUCCAUCUUUUUUCAAAAUUUUCAAGAACCAAAUAUAACCUUAGUCAUGACCGCUAAUAAUGAUUUUUCUUCUCUUAAGGUAGGACUGAACAAUUGUAGUAUCUGAUAUUUGUGGAGAAUUAUUCAUUUGAUACACAUAUUCUUUCUCUUGAUAUCAUAUAUGGUUUCUGAUUUUAGUUGUUAUCUUAUUUUUUGGUAUUUGAAUUUGAUUUAUUCAUCUCAUUUAUUUUUAUUUCUUUGGGGAAAUGGUUUAGGAAUAUGAAUAUGAAGAUGUUCAAUUGCUUUACGGAUUUCUGCUAACUGAGUCAUCAUGUGGCCUAAGCCCAGCCCUUUUCAUGCCCAAGCCUAGCCCAAUCAUUGAAAUUUGGGCUUAGACAGAACUCAGACCCGCAAUGAUGGGCUUUUAAAAUAUAAAUGUUAUGCAACACCUUAUCUUUUAAUCACCUUUAUGUUUUAUAAAAAUAAUUAAUUCUAAAUUUCAACUCAAAGUUAAGUUGUCCAAAAAUCAUUAAAAAUAGGAAACCUUUUUUUAGACUUGAAAAUACGUUUGGCAUUUUUUUAUUUUUAGAAAACAGUUCUUUGAAAACUCGUUAUGGAAAUAAGAUAUUUUCUGAGAACAUAUUUUAAUUAUUUUUAAAUAUCUUUCCUUAAUUUUUGGGAUUUAUUUUAAAAAGUAAUUGUACAUAUAUGUAGAAUGGUCAGAAUAAAAUCAUUGGAAACAAAAGUUGUUUUGAAGAAAUUCAAAAACAUAAAAAGUAGUUUGAGAAUAGGUGGGAAGUGUGUUAAAAAAUAGUUCUAAAAAACAAUUGAAAAAAAAAUAUUGUUUUUAUGAUAUUUUUAAAGUAAGUUUAUUUGAGAACCAAAAAUGUUGUUUUCUAUGUUUUUAAAUAUGUUUUAAAAGUAUUUUUUUUAUAUGUAGUACUUUAUUUUAAUUAUUUUUUAUAUUUAUAUAAUUUUUUUAAAAAAAAAUCCUUAGAAAAUAAGUGAAAACAAUUAAAGAUAUUCUCUAAAAAACACUAUUUUCUAUUUUUAAAAAUAAAAAAUAAAGUGCUUUCAGAAAAUAUAUUUUAAUUGUCUUCACUUGUUUAAAAAAUAAUUAUAAAGAAUAAUUAAAAAUAAAGUGUUAUGAAUAAAAAUUAUUUCUAAAAUAUAUUUAUAAACAUAGAAAAAAGGUUCAAAGUAUUUCAAGUUCCAAACAAAUUUUGUUUUGUAAAACAUUAGAAAAUGGUUUUUAAAAACUAUUCUCAAAGCUGCUUUUUAAAACUAUUUCUGAGAAUACUUCCAAAACAGACCUUAUUUUCUCUUCUUUCUUGCCCUAAAACAAGUAUAAAAAACUCUUCUUUUAAAGUUGUUUUUGAAAAUAUUUCCCAAACAGACCUUAUCAUUCUCUCUUCUUUCUUGCCCAAAAAUGAGCUGCAGUUCCAUAAUAGCUCAAGCUUACCUUCAAGGAGUCAUCAGGCUGACCUGGGCCUGGCACUCAUGGAUGUUUCAACUAACAAAUUAAAACAAAAACCAAAUAUGAGACAACAUACUAAGAAUGCACUUGUGUUAGAAAUUUAGACACAGAUGAUACAAAUGCUGUUGGGAAUUGGUUUUUUGGGCUUUGAAAGUAAAAUGUUUUAAGGAAAAACCAGCCAAAAUGUGCAGCAGGCAUGCUGGACCACCCUCUUCAUUCUGGGGAAUUAAUGAUUCUGUUCAACCGGUUGUUCUUUCUAUUGUGAUUAUUACGCAUGACACUUUCAAACAUGUCAAAUUCGUUAAUUUUUGGAUAGCAAUAGGUAGAUAUAUAUCCAUGAUUUUGGUCUUGAAUUUAUGAUUUCAGUCCCUUGAAAAUCAAAUACCUAAAGGUGAUGGAGUUCUCCGACUUUGGGUGCCAACCCCAUGAACAAUUCACAACCUCCUAAAAGGAAAUUUGAAGUUGAACCAAUAGAAAGAGAGAUUGUGGUAAAGAUCUUAUUCGAGUAUGAAACAAGUCUAGGAUUUGCAUGACAAACAUUGUAUUGGAAAAAUAAGGGAACAAUUACUCUUAAAUGAUGGUUGUCUUGUUAGAAUAAUACAUUGAAUUUAGGGUGAUUCAGUUUCUUUGGUAUUAACAAGAUUACACAAUAAUUUUGAGUUACAAAUCUUAAAUCUUAGCAAUAAAAGGUAUUAACUCAAUAGUUGUUGUGGGAUUGACCAAGUCACUAUGCCAAUAGUUGCUUGAUUUUUUGUCUUUUUAGUUCGGAAAAAACAUUAGUUUUCGACCUUGGUUUUUAAAAAUCUGGUCUUGAAUAGUCAUCCAAAGCUAGAGUCAAACAAAAUCUUAAAAUAAUUUGGCUUUAAUUCAUCUAAAGAUUUAGUCAAGAGUUUGCAAAUAAAUUGAAAAUCAAUGAAUCAUCUCACAAGGACAGACAAACAUUCAUUGAAUCUAUUUGGCAUCGCUGAAUCCUUAUCAAAAGGGACUUAAAAAGAAAUAUUCUAUCCGACGAGAAUGAGAUCCACGAAUCUAGGAAUAGGGACAGAGAUUACAUUGAAGAGAUGCAACUUGGCCUUUAUCUUCACCUUGGAACAGGCCCCUGCCAAAUGCUUCUAGUUUCAUUGCACCCUUCAACUAAACAAACUAACAUGUUUGCCACGUUGUGAAUGCCAAAAUCUGAUAGUGUUGAAACACGCUUGUGGUCAAUUAAUCAUAAUGCAUAUGUCACCAUAAGUACCUCUGGGAUUACAGGAUGCCUCCCUUCACCAUUGACCAAUUCAAGCAAUUGAAGCUUGGAUAAUCAGUAGACUCUAGAAAGUAAGAGGAGGUUGAGUCCUGGUGACCAACAGAAAAUUGAAAUGAGAAGUGUGAGAUCUUCUUCCACGCUGGGCUUCCAUGGACAAACAAUUCAAGGAAGUCCACCGUAGGGAAGCAAAAUUGAAGGGAAGUUAAUUUUUGCAAGGUAGCCACCUCCUCCGUAACAAUCUUUAAAACUUGACAAUAUAUAGGCUUGGAUUAAUCUAUCAACAUUUGUUAAAUAUUACCUACUUGUUUUCUCAUUAUUAGAUUCAUAUAAUUUGUUACUACUUUUAUAAUGAUGAUAAUCAAACAAACAUAUUUUUAGAUAUAUUGUUAAUAUGAUUCCACAUCCAUUUAUGAUAUAUUUGUUGACUAUUUUAUGUUUACCUAUUAUUUUAAUUUUUUUUUAGAUGAAAAUGUUGGAUUAAAAGACCUCAAGUGGAGAGGUUUUGUGGUCACCUUUAAAGGACAAUAAGCAUGUCGGUUCAAGGCUGUGGCUAAUCAAUGUGUCAACUAUUGCUAGAACAAUUUUUUUUUUCUAGUCCAUCUUUUGCUUAGUAUUUUCUACUAGUUAGAAUUGAUAUAGUGGCUUCAGUUGUAUUUGAGAGUUCUCUUUAGAAAAAAAAGUUAUGUUUGAUUUUUGGAAAGCAUUGAGAAAAGGAAAAGAAAUAUUGAAAAAAAAUUAUCCUUUCUAUGUCAUAAAAAGAGAUAAGAUUGUAAUGUGACCAAAUAGCGUGAAUUGGUCAGAACAAAAAGUCCAUAAUGGAAUCUGCAAGUUAUGUUUGAUUUUCAUAAUGUCUGAGGGGAAGAAAAUAGAGAACAAAAUAUAAUGAAAGAGGUAAGGAAAAUUUAUAAUAAUAUUUUUUUCUCAUUUGAUUGUUCAUGUUAAAUUAAAAAAAAAAAAAAAUUUGAAGUAUCUCAUUAUCGUUGUAGCUUUGGUUAGAUGUAAAAUAUAUCGAAUAUCAAUAAAUGAGAACACUUACAAAAUGAGGUUCGUCUCCUCGACGGCAACAGGGUCAGGCAGUUGCUUUUCCUUUGAGGCAGUUGUGGCCUUAAAUGCAGGGGCCGCCAUGAAGUCACCAGAAACCUGUCACUCAUAGACAAAUAGCCAACAAAACAAACCAAAUAUUAGACAGUGGAUUUGGAAGGGCACAUGGAGUUGGAAAUUAGUAUUCCCCCACCAUGUUUUUAAGCAUGCAAAUGAAUAAGAAUACCCAUCUUAAGUGUUAGAAAUUGGAAUCUAAUGUCCAUAUGAGAAUACCUGAUCCAAACCUUAGGGGAGUCGGAUAAAUGAGUUAUACAUUCAGUGAUAUAUAUAGAUACACAAACAUCCCAAUAGAUGGCAGUAUAUCACCGCUAGUGCAAGUGUGCAUAUACCUUUUCCAGCAAAAGAGUAAAUGCUUUUUUAACGAAAACCAGCAAUAUGUGCACAUGCUUUUUUCGAUUCAACCUGAAAAUCUGUGUAUCCUACUGAAUCAUUCAUGUCAAAGAAUAGAUCCAAAAUGCAAUGAAUUAUGCAAUGUACAUACCAGUUAUAAAUAAAAUGGAGAUCACAUCUAUCUAUGGAAAGGAAAAAAAGACAUGAAAAAUUACCUAACCUGACUGUUGAGAAGGCUUUCUUUCUUGCCUCUCAGCAAGAAGCUGAUUCUCAAUUUCUUCUAGCUGAGUCGCCAAAUCUGCAUCACUUUUAAUGGGGACAAAUACAUUAUGCCACUGAACAAGUCCAAAAUAUGAACUCUUCAAUGUACUCCACCAGUCUACCUCUCCUAUGAUCACCUUUAUACUAUUACAACAGACUUCCAUAUCAGACAUAGUUUCAAGGCGUGGACAGUUAUAGAAGCUCACCCAUUCUAAUUUUGGUACAAUGCGUAAACCACUUGAAAUGUUGACCAAUUUAGGCAUGUAAUGAAGUGAUAUCUUCCUCAAAUUAGGAAGAUAUGUUCUCAAGGGGAAUGGUCUAUGUUUAGCAGGAUCUUCAAGGGUCACUAUGCUGUUGAUUUCAAGGCACCAUUCAGCCACAAGCUCCUCUAAGCUGUUGAGAUUUUCAAGCAAACCCAAAGUAAAAAUGGUAGUCAACUGUGGGCAUUCAUGCAAUGCCAAGGACUUUAGACUAGAUAGACAACCCCUCCAAACUGGUCCCUUCUAGAUGCUCACUAAAUUCUUCAUAUAAUGAAGCCUUAAGAAUUGUAAAGACCCAAGUAUAUUUUCUCCAUAAACAUCUCCAUCAUUUUCUUGUUUGUUUACAAUUUUCUGCUUCAUCCACAAUAGUUUCAAUCUUAUUACAUUCCCCUAAUACACAAAAUUCUAGCUUCUUCAUAUUUCCAAUCCCAAAUUCAGAUAGCUUGGUGAGAGUUAAAUGGCGAUCCAGGAACAAAGCAGUGCAAUGCUGGAGUACCUCCUUGAUUUGACUUGGAAUGCCUUCACCAUUCACAUACUUCAGGCUCCUUGUGUGAAGUUCAAAUUUAAUUGCAAGUUCAUUGGGUAGUCAAGAUAUAAUCACUACAAGGAAAAAGGUAUAUUGUGACAUUUAUAACGAGUCACCAUAAACAUAGGGUGUCACUACAACAUAGCGUCACCUUCUCCACUGACACCAUAGAGGGUACCAAUUGGUGACGUAUUUGGAAGUGACACCAAAGUAGAUAAAUGGUGACCCAUUCGGAAGUGACACCAUAUAUUUCUAGUGAUGAUAGGGUGUCACAUUAAAUACAUCAUCUUUGAGUUAUGAUGUCACAUUAAAUGCAUCACCUUUAAGUUAUGGUAUCACAUCAUUGUAAAUUAUUGUGGAAGAUAUGAUUGGUUUUAGUUGUUGAUUUUUGUAAUGCUUAUGAAUUAAUAAGAUUAACCUAUUUAUAUUUUGUCCAUAAAUAUAACAAUCAUAUUAUAUUUAACUCAUUUUUCUGUAAUGUUUCUGGAAUAACUCAUAAUACAUUGAUCAUCUAAUAAUAUUUGUAUAUCAAAUGUUCACAAAAUGAUAGUACGUCCAACAUAUCAAACCCAUCAAAACUAAAAAAGAAGAGUGAAUACAUACCAAAACAUGAUUUAGAAAUGUUAAAGAUCCCAAGAUUCAUGUAUACCUCUAUUUCCUAAGCAUAAAACCGGUUAACCAUAAAAUGACAUAAAAGUCCCAUCUAAAAAUCUAAAUUUCUCAGUUGCAAUUAAAGUAACGUUUAUGUCCUACAACGUAUAACAUAAGAGUUGCAUUUAAAAACCCAAAAUCUUGUUGCCUUCUUCUUUCUUUUUAUUCUCCAUUUCACCAUCCCAAGAGUGUAUACCUGCAUUUCAAAAUUUAAUGAGUUUUAGAGAUUUUUAUUGAAGAAAAUAAACAUGGAUCGAUGUUAUCAUAAAUGAACAAAUCUAAGAACUAUUUUUUUUUUUCAAAUAGAAACAUUAUUCAAAGAAUAAGCAUUACUAUACAAUACCUAUGGAAAAAUUCAUGUAGUAGCUAAGGGACUCACCAUGCAUGGUGAUCAUGAUGCAUUAACAUGAUUCAUGAUUAGUUGUAGCACAAAAGUAGCCCAUUCUCCUCUAAUUUCAUCGAAGGGCGCUUCUUCUGAUGAAUAAAUGGAAAUAUAAUUCUACUUGAGAAUAUGUUUUUUUUAUCACAAAACUGAAAUCAAAUAAGAAAAUAACAUUAAAAUGCAUAACAUUUGGAAGCCUAAAACUAUGUACAAUUCAUUAAAUAAGUAAUACCUUUGAAGCAAUAAUUGUAGGAUAAAAAAUUAUCUCUUUAAUGAAUCUCAUAACAAAGUAGCCACAUUCGAACCCUCCUUCUUGUCUUGGACACUAAUCGAUCAAUUAUAAAAUAACAUUAGUACUCACAUAUAUAAAUGGUGCAAAUGCAUAAGCUAAUGUGUAAAGAAAAAUUUUUGGAUGUCACUUGCACUAGUUGCUAAGAUGACUCCCUCUUAGAUGUUUUCUUUGCAAAUAUUCGAAGAGUCCUAUGUAAAUAAGUUCAAUGGGUACAUUUUAAAAAUAGGUAAAUGUUAUAUGUUUUAAUAUAUAUAAAUAAUAAAAAUAUGCGUUUGAGGUGAAUGUAUUUUUUUAUUUAAAAAUAAUACUAUGAAAAAUAAUAGGAAGAACUUACAUGUUUACGAUAUCCUUUAAGUCCUCACAUGGUUUGUGAUACAUAGGGUCAAGAUAGUGGACUGUCAUUUUCCGUGGCUCAAGCACUACCUAAAUAUAAACCCUUUAAGUCCUCAUAUCUAUUUUUAUUAACAAAAUAUAAAAACUUUCCAAAACUCAACUACUUAAAUAUAAAAACAAAAUCAAAUAAAAUAUCUAGCUAAUUGGAUUUUAGAAACUAAAUAAACUAUAAAUAAAUUAAAUAUAAAAACUAAAUAAAAUAUCUAUGCCCAUGAAUUAAUUGAAGGGGAUAGAAAGACACAGAGAGAACAUGGCUAUGGUUAUGAUUUCCAUCUUAUCAUCUCCCGUCAAUACCACACAUGCCCAUUUUAAGGUUGGACACUACUUUUGUUGAUGGACUUGGAAAGGGAACUUCAAAAUUGAAAACAUAAAUAAACCCUUAUGUAAAAAAAAAAAAAAAUUAAAAUAUAAUUGAGCAUUAAAAUAUUUACUCUCUUUCAUCACUUUCAUUUGAAUAUUAAUAAUCUCUUAUUGAGAUAGAUACUUACAAUUUAACAAAAUAGAAAUUCCUAAUAAUAAAAAAUAUAAAAAUUUCUAUUUCUAUUAACAAAAUAUAAAAACUUUCCAAAACUCAACUACUUAAAUAUAAAAAUAAAAUCAAAUAAAAAAUCUAACUAAUUGGAUUUUAGAAACUAAAUAAACUAUAAAUAAACUAAAUAUAAAAACUAAAUAAAAUAUCUAUGCCCAUGAAUUAAUUGAAGAGGAUAGAAAGACAUAGAGAGAUCGAACAUGGCUAUGGUUAUGAUUUCCAUCUUAUCAUCUCCCGUCAAUACCACACAUGCCUUCCCGAAUUGGUCCUUUUGGGGUUGGAUACUCUCAACGAAAUUCUAUAUCUCAUUCCCACUUAGAUACAAACAGAAAAAUCAUUUUUUUUCCUCUCUCGUUUUUUAGAAAGGAUGAAGAUUAUGUGAUAGUAUAUCUCAAAAAAAAUUUGUACCUGUCAUUCUCACACAAAUAAAUAUUAAAAAUCAUUCAUUUUUUUUCCUAUUUUUCACUUUUUUUAAGGAUUUGAUCAUGUGUUUGGUUUAGAUUAAAAAAUCAAUUAAUCUACAGUUUUUUCUUCUAUGCUAGAAGAUUAAACCUAAAUUUUUCUUCCCUACAACUCAAGAAUACACAAUUCACAAAAACCAUAAUACAAAGAUGUUGAAACAAUUAAUAUAAUGACAUUAAUAAAAGAAAAAAAAAUGAUAGAUCCAAGAGAUUUUGGGUUACCUGGGAGUCCACAAAGUGAAGAAUGUCGGUUGUGAGCGUGUUGACUAUGGGUGAGAGAAAAGGUUGAAGAAGAUCACGAUUUUAUAUAUAGGAUUUAUAUAUUGAGAUUUUUUGGAUUGUGGGUGAGAUAUGGAAACAAUGGGAAUUUUAUAUAGUAUCCAUCAUUAUUAAUUCUAAAAAUGGGUUAUAAUACUUAAAAAAAAUUAUUUUAUAUGAUGUCACUUCCCAAAAAAUGACACUAUAAAUAUAAAAUUAAUAUCAUCUAACUACCUCAAUUGAAGAUUUUUUAUAUGAUGUGUCACCUUUAUUAAUUAUAAAUCCUAUGGUGUCAUUAUUUUAAAAGUGACACCGUAAAUAGUAACACCAUAAACUAUUUUUGUAGUAGUGAAUGCGGUUGUGAUGAUUGCCAACAAUAAAUCUAAAGUGGACUAAUGAUGUGUAUAUCGACGAAGUUCCAUUCCUCAUAAAGUGAUCAAGCAGUGCAACUUGUGGCAAAUAAAUUUUUAAAGCCUCCAACUGUUUUAAGCUGCACACUUCCUUUACAAUAUCUUCCAUGGUUGCAUUCCAUCAUUCAUCAUCAGGGUUCACAUCUAUCGUUAACUCUUGCAAUUGAAACAAUCAUUGUAUCACAUUCCGAGGAAUGAGUGUAGAGGUUUGAUUUUUUCUGUAUCCAUGAAAUGACACGUUCAAGCAUUUCAACUUUGUCAGUCUGUCAACAUCUAUGGGUAGGUUUAUAAUUUUAGUGCCUUCAAGAUUGAGCACCUCAAGAUUCCCAAGUUUUCCAACUUCAGGUGGCAGCUCCAUUAAAAGUUCACAGCCUCUUAAUAGGAAAAUUCGAAGUUUGAAUAACUUAAAGAGAGAUUGUGGUAAAGAUUUGAUUCUAGUGUAGGACAUGUCUAGAAUUUGGAGGACAGGCAAACCUUCAAAGAAUAUCGGAGGAAUAGUUCUCAAAUGGUGAUUGGACUGCAAAAACAACACUUUGAGUUGUGAGCCAUGAGGACUUGUUGGUAGCUCCGAAAGUUUAUUAUUCAUCAAAUGCAUCUCACUGGCUUUUUCCCAUUCCUCAUCUUUUGGUGGUUCAGUUAGUCCUCAUCUACCUAGCCUACGAAAGGGUGAACAUGAUUCAAAUCUUAAGAAGUUUAAUAACUCCUCAUGAAUUUCCCUUCGCUUUCGCACAAAAUAAGAAUCUCCAUAUUGAAAACUCUCUAACAAGAAGGCAUUGACAAGAUCCCCCACAAUCUGUUUACCUUCAUCAAAUGUUCCUACUAAGCCGCUUGUUCUCCACUCUUCAAUCAAAUGCACUUCCUCCAUCUGUCCCCAAUUCUCCAUGUCAACAAAGUAUUGUACAUACUUGUUUGUCGAACCUGAACAACCCCACAUGAAUGCCAAUGCAUUAAAUAAGACUCUAUCUUUUGUCUGAGAUCUGUGUUGCAAGCCUAGUGUAUAAGAUGCAUAUUCCUAUAUCAAAACAUCAUUCAUGUCUUUCAAAGCUCUUGCCAUUAUAACAACAAGAAGUAAAUGGCCACAACACUUUUCAACCACAUUUAUGGCGAGGCGUUGGAUCCCUGAAGAAUGCACAACUUCCCCAACAUUCACACAGAACAAUUCCCAUGAUAACAGAUGAUUCUCCAUCAUGAUCUCUACACCCACUGCUGUUACAUGAUCAACAUUCUGAGAAUUAGUUGGUUAAAAAUUUAAACCAUAACAAGGAUAUCUUGAAAGACAUUAAAGCAUACAAUAAAAAUUAAGAAUUAAGAAAAGCUAACCUUGAUUAAUCCCAUAGAAAGCCAUUCCUGUGUUCUUCUGAUGUUCAAGGAUGCGUUCAAUUCGUGGAGAAGAGAAACCCCGGGUUCAAUUGGCUCUUCCCUUUCAACACCCAAAACAACUAUGUGCUCUGAAGAGUUCGUUCGUGCAGUACGUUCUCUUCUCAGUCCCAAAGAGAAAAACAGAACAGAAUGGGAUAGUCACCCUGCCUUUUUCCCUUAUAUAUAUAUAUAUAUAUAUAUAAUUCAUAUAUAUACACAUAUCACACAUACACAGUUUGGACCACUUGACUUAAUGGGCUAGUCAAGUGAAUUAGGGUGAGCCCAUAGAAAUCAAUCAAUAAUGUGUCCAGCCCCAUUAUGGACCACAAUACAAAAAUUAAAUUAACACUGAUUUAUGACAUUAUCAAAUUGAUUAUGUAAGUUCACACAUAAAAAAUCCAACAAUUCUCCCACUUAGACUACAUAAUCAAACAUCACAACAUAUACAUAAUCAUAAAUCAAUAUCCCAUAGAAUCUCAUCAAAAACAAAUAAUCAAAAGCAAUCAUAUAUGCUUCAUUGCUUGAUUCACAAGGAAAUAUACAAUAAUAGCAAUCCUUCCAACAAUAGCAUAAUAUUACAAUACCAGAAGUGGCUCCCACUAACUUAAUACAACCUAGGCUUCCAAUAACCCCAUUUGAGAUACAUGUUCUUGAAACACAACUAUGGGUAAGCCUUUUUUUAGUGGAUCCACCAACAUACUUUUUGUGGACAUGUGCUUAAUAUCAAUAAGAGACUCUGCCACUUUCUCCUUUACAAAAUAGAACUUUACAUCAAUAUGUUUGGAGCGAGAAAUACUCCUAGUGUUCUUAGAGAAAGCAACAGCUGCGAAAUUAUCACAAAAUAAUUUCAGCGGUCUAGAAAUGGAGUCAACAACUCCUAAAGUUGAAAUAAAAUUCCGCAUCCACAUAGCAUGACAACAAGCCUCAUAACAUGCCACAUACUCGGCCUCCAUAGUUGAGGAUGUUGUAAGUGUUUGCUUGACACUUUUCCAAGAUACAGCUCCUUCUGCCAUCAUAAAAAUAUAGCCCGUAGUAGAUUUCUUAUCAUCUAUGCAGCCAACAAAAUCAACAUCAUAAAACCUAACUACAUCAAGUAUGUUGGUGCGCCGAUAUGUCAACAUUAAGUCCUUAGUUCUUUGCAAAUACCUAAGGACAUUCUUAGCAGCUUUCCAAUGUUCAAUCCCAGGAUUGCUCAAGUACCUUCCCAACAUGCCCACAACAAAAGUAAUAUCAGGGCGUGUACAUACUUGAGCAUACAUAAGGCUGCCAACCAAAGAUGAAUAAGGAAUGGUUCUCAUUUCCUCUCUCUCAUCAUCAUCAUUUUGAGGACACUGAGCCUUUGAAAAUUUAUCACCCUUCACAAUUGGCGUUUUAGUAGAACUACAGUUGUGCAUAUUGAACCUCUUCAAUAUCUUCUCAAUAUAGGUUCUUUGAGACAAUUUAAGGACCCCAUUAGUCCUAUCAUGAAGAAUCUUUAUGCCUAAAACAUAAGAUGCCUCACCAAGAUCCUUCAUGUCAAAAUGGGUUGACAACAUGUGCUUUGUCUCAAUUAACAAGUCAGAAUCAUUUGAUGCGAGUAGUAUAUCAUCAACAUAUAAAACAAGAAAUGUGUAACUACUCCCACUAACCCUCAAAUAUAUGCAUCUGUCAACUGUAUUAUCUUUAAAACCAUUUUGGGUGAUAAUCCUAUCAAACUUCAGAUACCACUACCUUGAAGCCUGUUUAAGACCAUAAAUUGACUUAUUGAGCUUGCAAACUAAGUGUUCCUUUCCAACUUCUGUAAAACCAGUAGGCUGCUCCAUAUACACGUCCUCAUCCAGAUCACCAUUCAAGAAAGCUGUCUUGACAUCCAUCUGAUGUAGCUCCAAAUCAAAAUGAGCUACUAUGGACAUAAUCACUCUAAAAGAGUCCUUGGUCGACACAGGUGAGAAGGUUUCUUUAAAAUCAAUGCCUUCUCUUUGAUUAUAACCUUUAACCACAAGUCUAGUUUUAUAUCUCUCUAUUCGCCCACUAGAAUCAUGUUUGGUCUUAAAGACCCACUUGCACCCAACUGGUUUACAACCAUGUGGCAAUUCGACCAAAUCCCAAACACCAUUCAUAUACAUAGAAUUUAUUUCAUCAUCCAUGGCUUCUUUCCAAAAAGUGAAUUGAGGACAAUGAAUUGCUUCUUGAUAAGUGAUUGGAUUAGAAGCAUCAUAACCAUCAUACUCAUGUUCCUGCAAAUAAAUCAUGUAGUCAUCUAAAAUAGUCGGCCUACGAACCCUCUAUGAUUUUCUCGAAGGAAUCCCAUCAACAACAGUAUCAUCAACAACAUUAUCAUCAACAGGAAUGCCAUGUUCCACUUGAUUACCAUGCUCUCCUUGAUUAGUGGUUGAUUGUUGGUCAAUAGGAACAUCCACAUUUGGAACAUGAGAUGUAGGACAAGGAAUCACGACAUGCUCUUCUUCAAAAGGUAUCUCACGUGGUACAAAAUUUGGAUCAACAUUAACUUCAUCAUCAAAGUAUACAACCCUGUUUGACUCAAUGAUCCUGGUGGUAUGAGAUGGGCAAUAAAAUUUGAAACCCCUUGAUCCAAUGCAAUAACCAACAAAGAAACCAUUGAUGGUUUUAGGAUCAAGUUUCUUUGACUGUGGGUUAUAUGGCCUAACCUCAGCUUUACAUCCCCAAACAUGGAAAUGAUGAAGACUCGGUUUCUUCCCUGACCAUAGUUCAUAAGGUGUCUUAGGCACAAACUUACUGGGCACUUGAUUUAAAAUAUAUGCCACAGUCUUUAAGGCUUCACCCCACAAAAAUUCUGGUAAGGAGGAAUUAGACAACAUGCAUCUCACCAUAUCCAACAAUGUGCAAUUCCUUUUUUCUGCAACCCCAUUCUGUUGGGGAGUACCUGGCAUUGUAUAUCUAGCAUCAAUGUCGCAUUCCAACAAAAACUUAGCGAAUGGUCCAGGAUUCCGUCUAGUCUCAUCAUAUCUCCCAUAAUACUCACCACCUCUAUCAGACUUCACAACUUUAAUGGCCUUUCCCAAAUGCAACUCCACCUUAGCCUUAAAGACCUUAAACACAUUUAGGGAGUCAGAUUUCUCAUGGAUUAGUUCAGCAUAACCAUAUCUAGAGAAAUCAUCAAUAAAAGUGAUGAAAUAUUCAUAACCCCUUAAAGCAGUUGGUGUCAAAGGACCACAUAUAUCUGUGUGGAUCAAGUCUAAAGUACUGCCACACCUAUCAAUCUUCUCAUUUCUGGUCUUAGCUGUCAUCUUCCCCUUUAAGCAAACAACACAAGUCUUGAAGUCCGAGAAAUCAAGAUUAGAAAGCACAUCAUCUCUAACCAAUCUCUCUAAUCUUUGCCUAGAAAUAUGAACUAGGUGUUUGUGCCACAACAUAGAAGAACCCAAAUUCAUUCUAGCACGCUUGCAACCAACAACAGAAUUAACAGAAGAUGAAUCACACAAAGGACCAUGAUGCAGACUGAGACUGUAAAGAUUGCCAAACAAAACACCAUUGCCAAUUAAAACCAAGUUACUAAAAAUAUCCACUUUUCCACCUCCAAAGUGAAAAUAAUAACCAUGUCUAUCCAAAACAGAUACAGAAAUCAAAUUCCUCCUAAGUGAGGGUAUGUAAGCAACAUCGUGUAACAGUAAAAAGCUUUUGGUGGCCAAUCUCAAUUUAAUCAUGCCAAAAAAUUCUACUUUCACUUUGCUUCCAUUGCCCAUGUACACAAAUUCUUCAUGCUUUGACGACCUCCUUUUCUUUGUCAUCUCCUACAAAAAAUUAGUAACAUGAAUAGUAGCACUAGUAUCUAACCACCAAGAAUUGGCAUGAACAUCAACAAUAUUAGUCUCAAUCAUGUUUGCAUUCAAAUCAACCAUAACCACAAUUUUACCUUUCUUCUUCUCUAGCCAAUUUUUAAACUUGAAGCAAUCAACCCGCUUAUGCCCAACCUUAUGAAAAAAGUUGCACUUCCACUUGAAUUUCUCAUUCUUUGUACCAUUAGAUGAAACAGAUCCACUAGGGGCUCCUUGACUCGAAUUCUCUCUUCUCUUGAAUUGCUUAGAGCCUCUAGAAUUCUUGUGUGGAGGUUUUUUCUUCAUAUUGCUGCCAUGGUCAGUAACAAGAGCAAUGAGUGAGUCUCAUUUUUCUUUAGUGAGACUUCAUGUUGCACCACAAUGGAUAUCAACUCCUCCAAAGUCCAUUCUUCCUUCAAGGCAUUAUAGGUCAACUUCACUAGAUCAAAAGAAGUAGGAAGAGACUCAAGUAUCAGCCAUUUCAGGAAUUUCUCACUCAACUCCACUUUCAUCUCAUUUGCCUUGUUGAAAUAGUGCUUUAGUUUGAUAAUGUGAUCUCUAACCCCACUUACUCCAUCAUACACAAUGGUUGUGAGAAGCUUCAAGUAAGUUGUCAUUUAUGCCUUAUCAGUCUUGGUAUAAUUGGCCUUCACAUUUUCCAAAAAAACUUUGGCCCUUUCCAUCUUUGGCACACAUUCUUUAAUGGACUUAUCCAUAGUGUAUUUCAUCACCAUCAAACAACUCCUAUUAGAGUGCUCCUAUUUCUCAUAGAAGGAUCUUUCGUCUACAGAGCUCAAAUCAGUGGGCUUAUGAUUCAUGCCUAGCUGGUGUAUGCCCUGUUGAUUGGUGUUCAAUCAACUGGUGUGCUUUGAUUUCAGUCCUCAAACGGGAGUAAUCAACAAAAUUUAUAAACCUAUUUCACCAUAUACUAGGGUAGCAUUAGCUAGCAUAGCAUAGUGGCUCUAGGAUCGUCCAUGGAGAUGGGUUUUCAAAUUACAACUGAUAUUAGUUCAAAAACUAAAUUGGUGCAUUUUCUUUUCAAGGUUAGCUUUAAAAGAAAACAUAAGUACAUGUGAAAAUGUUAGUUUUAAGUGAAACCAAAAAUAAAGUAACUGAAAUUACUUACAAAGAAAAGUGCUUCUUAGAGUUUUAGAUCACUAGGCUUAGGUUCCUUAUACAAAAAGGGAGAUUCCGGUCACUUGGAUCUUUUCCUCGCAUUGGGGAUUUAGCUUAUAGUUAUUCCCUAAACCGGUGUGGUAUAGAUGCUUCCCCUUAAUGGUUUCAAACACUAAAUCCCUGUCAUUGAAUCAUCUUGCAAUGGUUCAUACCUUUCACCUGGUAUUGGCCAUUCAAGGUGAUCCUUAACCUUGGAUUACCCGUCAAAAGCUCGCAAGAGAUAACUAAUGGAUGUCUCUUGGGAGUCCAAAAGCUUACCAAGUGUUGGUUAUUCUAGAUAAUCCUACCUUUAAACCACCUCCCAGAGGCUCGCAAGAGAUAAACUAGUGGAUCUCAAUGGACGGAGUCCACUUGCCUUACCAAGUGUUGGCCCAAGUGAUUUUAAGGGAUUUUAAGUUAACUAAAAAGAUAAAAACCAUUGAUAAGUCAUACUUUCUCUUCAUUAAAAACUACAACAACGAAACUUCCACUUUUGUAUACGGAACCUUACCUAGCUUCCUUCACUCCAAGAAACAAAAAGCCUAGCCACUCAUCCUCUGGGAAAACAUCCUCAGAGUUUAAUUUGCUAGAAAUAAAAAUAAAAGAGAAAACAAAAUGAAAAGGUAAGGUAGAGCAGAGCUCUGUGUAUUACUUUCUGAAAAACUAUACAAAAGUUCGUCUCCGAGAAAAACUCCCCAGAGAUUUUUUAAAAAAAAAAAGAAAAUUACAAUAUAUAUUAUAUAGCGAGAGUAUUCACCCUUCCUGCUAACUUCCCAACCAAGAAAACUUGUGAUUAGUGGGUUACAAGGAGAAAAUAGGGAUUUACACACAAAUAUCUGAAGAUAAACAUCAAACGAAGUCGGGUGCUCACGAAUGCUUAAGAGUGGGAGUUUACUAAAGUGGAAUUUCUAUGGGAAUGACUUUCCAGGCACAAAUAUCUCAAAUUACAAGUGGAUUUCGUAAGUUCAAACGCAACUUGAGAAAAUUUCGCAAGUUGAAAUUGUCCAUUUCGCAAGUUGAAAUUAUGGUUUCGCAAGUUGUGAAAUUGUCCUGCAACUAAUCAGCUCUUUGUCCUGCAGCGAUUCCUUUCCUCUUCUUAUUUCGCAAGUUGCGAAAAUUUCGCAAGUUGGAUUCCACAACUUGAGAAAUUGCUGGAUGGUUGAUUUCUUCUGUGAUUUUCUUCCUUGCAUCCUCGUUUGGAUUUGGUAAAGGGUUAUGAAGCUCCAAAGCUUAGUUUCUUCAUGAAUUUGAGCUUCAACUUGCUUUGCCAUGAACUAUACAAAGAUCUCCCUCAUUCUUGGAUUGCUUUGGUGAUUAAAAAGUUAUGAAAAACACCAAAACUUAACACAAUUUGAUUAGAUACGAUUGCAAAGGUCCUUAACAUGCCAAUUGAGUUAAAAGGUAAUAACUACUACUCAAAAGUGUUUAAAAGAGUUAAUUACAAGCUAUAAAAUAGCACUUUUUGAGUAGUAAUCAGCUUACUUGGCUCAUCAACUCUCAAAGCCAAGUCCAGAUUGUACAGAGUCAUAUGCACAUUGAAAGACUCAAACCAUUCCUCAAAAUUAUUUCUUGCAAGAGGCUUGAUGGCAGACAAUUGCAUAGUAAUACCAGGAUUGCUAGUAGUUGGAAAAUAGCAAAAUCAAACAAUAUGCAUGUUACUACAAAAUCAUGCUAUUUGCUAGUUUCCAAAAUUACUUAAUUUACCAAUAGCUUGGAAUUUUGAAAAAUCCACAGCGGUAAGGAUAACUAAUUAAAUAUCACAACCAAGAUGCACUAAUUUUAUUACCGAAAAGGCAAAGAAAAUUAGUACGGUUCAUAAUAUAUAAUUAAUUUCCUUCACCAAUCUAAGCAUCCUACCAAGUAUUAUAAUCAUCGAUAGGACAAUUACAAUACCCGUAUAGACCUUAGUAAUCACAAUAAUAAAACAACCAAAAUGUGGAAGAUUAAAUACCUCAACAAAGACAAUUUGACACAUAUAGGAUCACGAUAGGUAACCACAUAUAUGUUCACUAUUAUCAUGAUGAAUUCAAAAUAUCUCAAUUUGCACAACUUGACACACUUAGAAUUGUGAUAGGCAAUCACACAAGUGUUUUUCAAUGUCAUAAUAAAUUAAGAUAUUCAACAAAAUAGCUUAGGAUAACAUUAUUGGUAUAACACAAAAAUUAUACCCAAAAGAACAAUAAUAAUAAAAAUAAUUGUCCCAAUAAAGCCAAAUUUCAUACAUGCAUAAUAAUUACAACAUAUGUAUUAUCAUUCCAAGAAUGCCAAGACAAGCAAAAAAAAAAUGUUUUUUUUAAAUAUAUGAUGUCAUGAUGACGUCAUCAUCUUCUCUAUGGGUUGAACAACCCUGGUUCUGGCUGUACAGAUCUAGAAAAGAAAAAAAAAAGUAAUUUUUUGGCCAAAAAAUUAUGUAAUUUCUGACGCAAACAACUGAUUUUCCAUCUUCAAACAUUAAUCCAUCAAUCUUGACAAAAAUUUGCACAAAAACGCAUAACCGAAGAGACAUAAGAAACCCUAGUUUUUCGAAAUCCCAUCAAUUGAGUUCCAAAAACAAAAAAAAAAAAAAAAAAAUGAUGGGUUUUCCUCCAAAAGGUAUUUUCUACAAGUCUCCAACAUCAAUUUUGCUUCAAAAUGGAGAAUCAACAUCAAAUGAAAAAAGCCCCAAAAAUUGGCUUCGGGAAAACCUUGAUUAAUCCAAAAAAAAAUUGUAGCUUAAAUGUCAUCCAUGGUUGCUCUGAUACCAAUUGUUGAAAAAUUUAAACCAUAACCAGGAUAUCAUGAAAGACAUUAAAGCAUACAAUAAAAAUUAGGAAUUAAGAAAAGCUGACCUUGAUUAAUCCCAUAGAAAGCCAUUCUUGUGUUCUUCUGAUGUUCAAGGAUGCGUUCAAUUCGUGGAGGAGAGAAACCCCGGGAUCAAUUGGCUAUUCCCUUUCAACACCCAAAACAACUGUGUGCUCUGAAGAGUUCGUUCGUGCAGUACGUUCUCUUCUCAGUCCCAAAGAGAAAAACAGAACAUAAUAGAAUAGCCACCCUGCCUAUUUCUCUGUGAUAUAUAUUACAUAUCACACAUACAUAGUUUGGACUACUUGACUUAAUGGGCCAGUCAAGUGAAUUAGGGUGGGCCUAUAGAAAUCAAUCAAUAAUGUGUCCAGCCCCAUUAUGGACCACAAUACAAAAAUUAAAUUAACACUGAUUUAUGACAUUAUCAAAUUGAUUAUGUAAGUCCACACAUAAAAAAAUCCAACAUUAGUUGUAUAAACUAUCUUUUGAAUUUUCUUUGAGCUCCACCAGUUGGUCCCCAUGUCAUAAAGAUUUACCCUUUCACCAACCUCAUGAAGAAGGAUGAAGAAGUUUGUGCAUUUCAGUGUUUCAUCUAAUUUCCGUUCUCCUGAUGUGGAGGGAAACAACUCCCGUUCAAUUGAAAAUCUAAUCUCUUUAAUGGUGGAACAUCUUGAGACAUCAACAUCAAUGACAUGAUCAAAUAUACAACAUUCUUGUAGUUCGUCCCACAAUUCUGACAUAACUGUUUCUCCAUGGCUUCCUAAAAUCCUAAUCUUUCGAAUUUUAGGGCAUUCUAUAUGUUGUAAAAUUUCACAAAUAGCAAAGUCCACUGCCAAAUCAUAUAUUUUUUUUGGCGUAGGCAUUAUUUGGUCAUGUCUUUCUACAUCAAUCCCGUUAAAGCUCUUCGCAAUCACAACUUGGGAAAAUAAAAGUUGAAUUUCAUCCAUGUAACGAGUCAUCAGUGUACUGAUUCGAUUCUCUAACUUAAAAACAUCGAUCUCUUUCUUCUUUGAAGGUGCUUCCAUUUUUCUCACCACAUCAUUGAUCUUCAAAAUGUCUCAAACCCACUUAUACUGAUUCUGCUUGUGGCUCUCUCCGUUCAGCAAGCUCAUAGGAGAAUAAGAUAUAAUAAGGCACACAAUAUCCUUCGUCCUGUUCAAUAUGUCAGCACUCUGCUUGAUUCUUUUGUGGACACUCCUGUCAUCUUCUAACUGUGUGGAAGACCCAGCUAUACUGGUUUUGCUUCUACCGAAAUGAAGGAGAAAACAUUAGAGUGAGUUCAACUAGAAAGCAAUUUCAGAGAACUAUUUGUAGUUAACCUCUUAUGAGUUGUGACAAGUGUGCAUAGUAAUUACAAAUACAAGAUUGUUUGAGAAAAAUCUUGAGCGGUAAAAGAAAUAUAGAAGCCAUUUGCAGAUAAAAUGACACCCUUAGGUUAUAUUUGGUUCCGAAAAGUACUAAGAAAGAAAAAAAAAUAUAAAGCAAAAUGAUUUUCUCAUAUUUGAUUAAACUACAAAAAUAUGAAAAAAAAAAUCAAAUAUAAUUAAAAAUAAUUAAACUCUUAUGUAUUUUCAAAUUAUUUAAUCUUCAUACAAAAAAGUUAAAAUAAAUUAAAUAAAUUUAAAGUAAUAUAUAAAAAUAAUGUAUUGGCUUUAAAUAUAUUUUUCAUUUGCCUUCACUUUUUGUUUCAUUCUCCUUUUCCUCUCUAUUUUCUUUCCUUUACAUUUUCCCUCAAAUUUUACAAUAACCACAAAUAUUUAGUUUGAUAGUAUUUUUUUUAUUUUGUUAAAUAACAUGAAAGUGAUUUUUAGAAGAAUUGAUAACAAGUAAUUGCUAAAGGAUAAUUUUCUACAUUUAAAAAAAAAAUUCAACAUCCGAUUUAUGUAAAGAAACACUUCUAGCCCUCUCAAAUUUACUCACAAACCAUCUUUAAGUGCUACUAUAAGAUAAUUUUAAGUGAUUUUUCAAUGUAGGAAAGUGAUUUACUUUUGAUUUUACCACACUUUUAAAAAAAUAAAAAUAAAUAAAAAAUGCUUUCAAAAAUUGACUUUCCCAUACGACUUGGUGAGAAGGACCUCAAAUCCUGUUCAAUAUCUCAACACUCUGCUUGAUUCUUUUGUGGACACUCCUGUCAUCUUCUAACUGUGUGGAAGGCCCAGCUAUAUUGGUUUUGCUUCUGCAGAAAUGAAGGAAAAAACAUUAAAGUGAGUUCAACUAGAAAGCAAUUUCAGAAAACUAUUUGUAGUUAACCUCUUAUGAGUUGUGACAAGUGUGCACAGUAAGUACAAAUACAAGAUUGUUUGAGAAAAAUCUCGAGCAGUAAAAGAGAUAUAGAAGCCAUUUGCAGAUAAAAUGAUACCCUUAGGUUAUAUUUGGUUCCGAAAAGUACUAAGAAAAGAAAAAAAAAUAUAAAGCAAAAUGAUUUUCUCAUAUUUGAUUAAACUACAAAAAAUAUGAAAAAAAAAUCAAAUAUAAUUAAAAAUAGUUAAAAACUUAUGUAUUUUCAAAUUAUUUAAUCUUCACACGAAAAAGUUAAAAUAAAUUAAAAGUAAUAUAUAAAAAUAAUGUAUUGGCUUUAAAUAUAUUUUUCAUUUGCCUUCACUUUUUGUUUCAUUCUACUUUUCCUCAAACUAAGUAUUUUUGUUAUUUUGUUAAAUAACAUGAAAGUGAUUUUUAGAAGAAUUGAUAACAAGUAAUUGCUAAAGGAUAAUUCUCUACAUUUAAAAAAAAUAAAAUUCAACAUCCAAUUUAUGUAAAGAAACACUUCUAGCCCUCUCAAAUUCUCACAAACCAUCUUUAAGUGCUACUAUAAGAUCAUUUUAAGUGAUUUUUCAAUGUAUGAAAGUGAUUUACUUUUGAUUUUACCACACUUUUAAAAAAAUAAAUAAAUAAAAAAUGCUUUCAAAAAUUGACUUUCUCAUACGACUUGGUGAGAAGGACCUCAAAUCCUAGAGUAUAGUAAAAAGUUGUGGGGCCAUGUAUUUUUUAACAAAAAAUUUCUUUAUAUUUUUGUUUCCAAAAGCUUGCUUUUGAGAAGAGAAAGUAUGGUUUAUUUUGAGUGUUAUAUCAUGAUAAAUAUUAGGAAGUGCUAGUUGAUUAUAUUUGUUCUUGAGUUUUGAAAAGGAAUUUAGUGUUUAGUCACAGGUUACUAGUUGUUGGGUGGCUCAAAAAAUCUAUUAAAAUUAUUGUGUCAAUGGAAGCUUUAAUGCAAAUAAAAUUAAUUCAAGAUUACAAAGAUAAAAACAAUCAACACAAAAAAAUACAAGGUUUUAACGUGAUUCGACCAAUCAUGCUACAUCCACGAAUAAGAGAUAAUUAUUCUACUAUAUUAUAGAAAAUAUUUUAGAGGAUAGAACCAGAUACAAAUAUUGGAUUCCCAAAACUUUUUAUGUUUCCUCCUCACUCCACUGGGUGUCAUGUAUUCUUUCCCCUAUCUCUAUCCACCUCCUAUAAUUUUUACAAGCCCAUGUCCUUCUCAUGAUUUUUCAACCUACGAUAUUUAUAGAGAUAUUCCUAAUAACUUUCCUUAUUUUAUAAUAAAAUCUAAUAUUACAAUAAUAUAUCAACUUAAAAAAUAUACUAUACAAUAUUCUUUACGAAAAGGAAUAUAUAUUAAUUAGGAAUUUGGAACACUUUCUUUUGUUUUAUUUUUUAUAAAAAUGUCCACAUUUUUUUCUUGUAAAAAUAAUAUUUUCUUUUAAAAUUUACAUGUAAAUAAUUAAAAUAUGCAAUAAGAUAUAUGUCAAAAGUGGAUUGAUUAAGUGGAAGGGGGUUAAUAUAUAUAAAGUUAUUUGAUUAAAAGUUUAUGAUUUCGAAAAUGGAGAAUACUUCAAAAAAAAAAACUAAAAAACACGAUUGAUAACUAAAAAAAUAAAAACCAAUUUUUUGUUCUUAAGAACAAGAAAAAGUAAAGAAUUUUCAUACAACAUAUUUUAGUUGUUUUUAGUUAUUUUCAUUUGUUUUUUUAGGGUUGUUUUAAAAAAUAAUUAUAUAAAUAUAGAUAAUAAUUAAAAAUAAAUAACUACACAUAAAAAUUAUUUUUAAAACACAUUUAAUAUAUAUAUAUAUAUUAUAUUUGUGUGUGUGAUGUGUGUGUGGGGAAAAAUAGAAAACAAUUUUAUGUUCUUAAAAACAAGAAAAAAAAUUUCAUACAACAUUUUUUAGUUAUUUUCACUUAUGUUUUUAGGGUUGUUUUAAAAAAUAAUUAUAAAAAUAUGGAUAAUAAUUAAAAAUAAAAAAACUACAUAUAAAAAUUAUUUUUAAAACACAUUUAAAAAUAUAGAAAAUAUGUUAAAAACAUUUCAAAUUCCCAAACAUACAUUUGUUUUAUAAAACAACAGGGAAUUAUAUUAAAAAAACUAUUUAAAAAAAAAUUACCAAUGUAACGUUAUGUGUGCGUGUGGUGUGUGUAGAAAAAUAGAAAAUAAUUUUCUGCUAUUAAAAACAAGAAAAAAGAGAGAAUUUUCCUACAAUGUCUUUUAAUUGUUUUUUUUCACUUAUUUUAGGGUUGUUUUAAAAAAUAAUUAUAUAAAUAUCAAGAAAACUCUUCAUUUUUUUAAUUACCUUUUAAUAUAUAUAUCUAUGUGUGUGUGAAAAAAAAAUUAUACAACAUCUUUAGUUGUUUUUAGUUAUUUUCACUUAUUUUUUAGAAAACAUGUCAAAAAUAUUUCAAAUUCCUAAACAUACAUUUGUUUUAUAAAACAUCAAGGAAUUGUAUUCAAACAUAUUUGUGCGUGCACACGCAUGUUGCACACGCAUGUGGGUGGGUGUGCAUGUGUGUAGAAAAGUAGAAAACAAUUUUCUAUUCUUAAAAACAAGAAAAAAAGAGAAUUUUCAUGUAGAAUUUUCAUAUAUAUAUAUUAUAUUUGUGUGUGUGAUGUGUGUGUGUGUUUUAAAAUGUAUUUAAAAAUAUAUAUAAUAUGUUAAAAAUAUUUCAAAUUCCCAAACAUACAUUUGUUUUAUAAAACAUCAAAGAAUUGUAUUCAAACAUAUCUGUGUGUGCACACACACAUGGACGGGUGUGCAUGUGUGCGUUGAAAAAUAGAAAACAAUUUUUUAUUCUUAAAAACAAAAAAUAUAUAUAUUCUUAAAAAGAAGAAAGAGAGAUAAUUUCCAUACAUCUUUUAGUUGUUUUUAAUUAUUUUCACUUAUUUUUUAGGGUUAUUUUAAAAAAUAAUUACAUAAAUAUAAAGAAUAAUUAAAAAAAAAACUACAUAUAAAAAUUAUUUUUAGAACACAUUUAAAAAUAUAUAUAUAUAUAUGGAUGGGUGUGUGUUAAAGGUGAAUUACUUUUCAAUUAAAAACAUUAAAUGGGUACAGGAGAAUUCUUACCGAAUCAAAUUUUGAGAGUGGGUGCACGAUGGUCUCGAUGCCACAACCUUCCUAUCCAACUGCUUCAACCACUUCAUCACCCUGUUCCGAUGUUUCAUGCUGAGUCACAGAUUCCGAAUGAAUUUCCAUGUGAAUAAAUUUGAAAAGGAAAAUUUUAAAGAUAAAUUAGUUUUCAAUUAAAAACAUUGGAUGAGUACAGAAGAAUUCUUACUAAAUCAAAUUUUGAGAGUGAGCAUGUGAUUGAGCCUUCUUAUCCAACCACUUCAUCGCCCUCUUCCGAAGAUUCAUACUUCACGGUUUCCAAAUGAAUUUACAUGCAAAAAAAUUUGAAAAGGAAAAUUUUUAUGUGUUUGUGUUUUUCUUUUACCUUCGUGAUUGGAUAUUAAAAGUUAAAAUAUUUUUUUUUUUUUUAGUAUUAAAAUAAUUUAUUAACUUUUUUUAUUUUUUAAUAUUUAAUAAAAAUAAAAUAUUAAAAAAUCAAAUAUUAUUUAGUUUUAAAUUUUAUUUAAAAUUAAAUUACAAAAAUUUAUACCAUCCCUCAGAACAAGGCAUCACUUACGGAUUGGGGUCCCAUUUGGAAGACAAUGGCCACCACCGUUGCAACCUCUGUGAGUCUUCACCCAGAUCAUUUCUAAAUCUCACAGUAUGUGAAGACAACGGCCGCUUCCAAGGCAACUUCAGCCACUUCCAACGCUGAUGAAGCUGCUCCCCCGGAUCGUUACUAAAUCCUAAAGUGUCGGAGUCGAAAUCGGAAUUCAAAUCUGAAUUCAUAUCCCAUCCCCAAUUCGAAUCUGGAUCUGGAUCUAUAACUUUUCCCAUUUCACUCGUACCCUCCACUGCCAAGUUUUGGCUGUUGCUCUUCUUCGACUCCACCCCUCAGUCGGUAAGGUAACUAUGAAUUUCCAUCACCAAUUUUAGCUGAUUUUUCACCUGCAUCAACUGAAAGACUGAUAAGUCUUUGAAGGCACAUUUGGUUCCUUUAGGCUUCCUCCGCUACUACAGAGAGUGUCCAAAUUAUACAAUAUAGCUAGGUUUACUCCACGUGCAAGGCACGUGAGAGUUAUUUAAUAAAGUUAAUACUUUUUAAAAUUGAUUUAAUCAAAACUGUAUAAAAAAUCAUUUAUAAAAAAGAAAGAAGCUUUUCUUAAAAUAAAAAAAUAUUACAAAAGUAUAUGGAACAAUAUAAUUUAUAAUUAGAUAGGAAGAUUAUUAAUUUAAAACUAUUUUGUAGCUCGGUGUUUUAGCUUUAAAGUAAUGUGUGAAUUCAAACCAAUAAAAAAAAUAUAUUUUAUUAAAUAUUUUACUUCUAAUUUUUUUUCUUCAAAAUAUUACUAAUUAAGUUUAGUAAAUAAUAUUAAUGAAUUACCAUAAAAAAAAAUGUAAUAUAAAAUAAAAAUAGUUUAUUUAAUUUUUUAUUAAAAAAACAUUAUUAAAUAAAAGUAUCAAAUAAUUUUACAUCAAAUAAUAGAAUAUGUAAAUAUGGAAUAAAAAUACUUUUUAAACUAAAUUUUUUAUUAAAUAAACUAAUUUUAAUUAAUCUCACUUAUUGUUGGUGACACAGCUAACGAGGAGAUGAUCCGUUUAGGAUCUCAGAAGUGAUGAAACAACUAUAGUAGACUUCGUCUAAAUCUCCCAUGAUGUGGGUGGAUUUGUUUCCUACGCAAAGAGGAUAUUUGGGCACAACCGUCCGAAACUUAAGUCAAAGAGAUAAUUUUAGCAAGAAAAGAGCAGUUUGGAAAGUUAUAACAUACCUUCCUUGAACCCUUAGAUGUUAUUUUAUACUAUUUCCUUUGUAACGCUUCUUCUCGUGUCAUUAAUGUGCCAUUGAUUACACCUUUCCACCGUUAAUGCUCAUGAUCAUUGUCUCAUAGCGGUUAUUAUGUCGUAAUAAGCCUUUAAUUCAAGUGUUUGAUGUCAUAACGGUUGCAUUAAUCAAGGCAUUGAUUGUCUGUUGCAAUUAGUGUUUUUCAAGUGUGUGAUGCCCAUGACAUGGUCCGUCUAGAUUGCCUCAAUGUCCAACUAUGGUCUUUCACCUGUGGGCACGCUAACCAUGCUUAUGUCGAGCGUCCCUCUGAAUGGACUUAAGCCGUUAUUGGGCUAAUUCGUCCUGAAUGAACUUGGUCUCCCACAAUGCCCCCUAAGUCUUACAAUUAUGCUCGGGGAAGAAGUAGAUGGCCAGGUGGAAGAAUUGAAUUUCUUUAAAACCUUGUGCUUUUGGUGCCAAAAGACACACAUCCCGCAACCAAGCUUCGUGGAGUCACAUCGAUUAAGGUGAUGUGUCAAGCAACGCACCCUCUACGAUCGCCUCGAUUCUCGCACUUAUAGCUUAUAUAGGUGUGUCGUUCUCUCUUACAACAUUUAUAGUCUUAUUCUAUUUUCAUUGUCCCUUGGUGGUAUAUCCAUUAUUGGUUACGCAUUUGAGUAUCAUCUAUUUUAGCAGUUGUGGUUUUUCUCCGGCGUUUGUCUCAGUCGAGGAUUGCACACUCUUUUUCCAAGUGCGCUUGUUUUUCUUUUUCUACAUCAAGUUUGAGUUUGGGUUGAAGCUUUGCUUUUCAAUUUUCUUGUCUAUGUAUUGUCGAUUUGUAUAUUUUCUUGCUUGUUGUGGUUUUGCAUUCUUCCUUAAACGAUUGUUGGUAUCAUUGAGGUUUCGCCCUUGGGUAUGCUUGGGCAGUUGCAUAACUUACCCAACAAGCAUUUUACAUGAGUCUGUCUAGGUAUGCUUAGGUAUGCUUAAGCAAGGGUCGUAUGAACACCUACACGACAUAAGCACAAGACAAUCAACGUAUGGGUUACCUAGAUGAAAUAUCGACUCGACCCAAAUCUUAAAAAAGUGACAUACCAUAAGCAUGGGUAGAAGUGGGGUCGCAUCCAUAAGCAAUAGGUCGCAAUGCAACAAGUCUAAAUCAUUCAACUCCAGUCGCUCCAGGAUGGACCGCCCAGUUGACAGCUUAUCCAAGCAGGAAUUCUGUGCUCGCUUUUAUAUCCCCGACUCAAUUUUUAUUCAGCUAUUAGACAAGGAAGCUUUGCCGACAGUUCCUCACAAUAUGAUUUAUUUUACUAAGGAGCAGUUUGCAGCGAGUCUAUGUCGACCUAUACAAUCUCUGCUUAAGUAGUUUCUCCACUUCUCUGAAACCCUGCAUGCAUUCAUUCAUUUAAAUGUCAUCUAGAUUUUGAUGGGGUGCAUGUCUUAGCCGCAUUGUACUAGCUAAAUCUAUCCUUGCUGGAUGUCCUAUUUGAGUACACCAUCAAGAUGAGCCUUAUAGAAUGUUUUAGCUUAUCGACUCACAUUCCAUUGUUUCAAUUCGUAACUAGUCUUCCACACUCAAGCAAAAGUUGGGCUAAGGGACAUGUUCUGGUGUCCGGCCCUUGGAGGGAAUCAACGGAGGGUCCGAACAAGCUCUUUACACCUCAACAUUCAUUAGAAAUCCCAAGUAUUUUCUUUAUCUAGCUUUCAUUACUUCUUUCGUACUUAAACUGGUGGAGCACCAUCUAACUUGUACGGUGUUUAUGCAUGCAAGGACAAAUAGGGUCAUUUAGUUGAGUGGGUAGAGAAGUCGUAUUUUACCUGUCUCAACAAGUUGUUUAAGAUUGACCAAGCUGAACGAAGUCACUUUGUUCUUUUGAAGGAGAAAAAUAUGAAAGUCGUCCUUAAACACCUAAAGCCCUUCGUGAUUCCCAUCUUUUCGCAGCUUCGUCCUUCAAUUCUAGUGCCCGAUGAGCACUUCGUUUUGAAAAACUUGUCAUUCUAGGAGGUUGCUUAGAUUACGGACUCUGAGGCACAACAAGCUCGCCUAGACGCGUGUGAGAAAAAACAUCAAGAAGGGACUUUGCGCCAAGCUCCCACAUUUUCUUAUCUGGCUUUGAAUUCUGCUCCCUGGCUAGCUAGACCUCGUCCUAAGAUGAAAGAAUAGGCGGGAACCUCAACUUCUCCCCCAAAAGUAAGGACUCUAUCAAGCGAAGCCAAACAAAGUGAAAUUUUGGAGCCUACUAUGUCUUCCAUAAUUUUUUAAGAGGAGGAGAAAGAAUAUAUGGCUACUAAUCUAAGAGUCAGGUUUUGUGAGAGAUAAUAGAAACUAGCAGUCGACCCUUCUUUUGCCAAAAAAGAAAGAACAUAUUCUGAAAGAGAUUCAACUUCCAAAUCCGCUCGGACACCAACUGUCAAGCCGCCUAAGAUCGAGGAUAUACCCUUUCAUGGGUUUGAGGAUUCUUUGAUACUUUUUAGUAGAAAUUCGUCGUCGAGUGAGUGCACAUCCCCGACUGUCGUUCCAAUGCCUGUGGAUGUUCCUAGCUGGGAAAAAAUGGAUGAGCUACUACUUUGCUUCCCCACAUUGAUCAACAUGGAGCCUCUCGUACUAAACAUGAAUGCCCUUUUUUUGGCCCUCAACCGAAUUCCAGUGGAAAUAGAUGGGGACCCUGAGCAAAGUUUCACUACAUAGAUCCCCUUAAGCACAUCAAGUAACGUUGUUUCCUUUAUCAUGCACAUGAGGGAAUACACACGAUGGAAACCGUGGAAGUGGUAAGUUGAUUUUUUUAUUUUUUACUAUCAUCCCCCAUUUUCCUUAUCAUUUGACGUAUGAGCUUUUUUUUUUUUAGAUAGCAGCCAAGGUGUGAAAUUUGAUGAACCAGUGGGCCCAUUUUUUCCAAAGGCUGGAGGCUGCGAAGAAAAUAAGGGCUUAUAUGGCUCAAAACCUGGAAGGGGAAGAUAAAUUCCAUGCGGAACUAGAGACGGCUAAAGCUCCAGCAAUGUUUGUCUGGAAGGCAGUUGAAGAAGAGGUUGAGCUUCUUAAGAGGGCAGAACUGGAGAAUGAAGCACUCUAGACGGAAAUCCUCCAAUUGAAACUAGAUAACGCGACUAUUAAAUCUGCCAAGGCCAAAUCAGAGGAAGAAGUUACCUAGAUGAAACUUGAGCUCGAACGGGCCUGGGCCAACUUCGUGAAAGAAAAAAAUGAUCUAGAAACUGUUGAUGUCUUGCAUCCCAGGGAUCCACGUUGCUGCCAAGUGGACGCACGCUUUCAACCAAGAUUGAGUUCUGGCUCAGUAGGUCCUACAAAAGAUGUCUGGACAGGAUGUCCGGACACACCCUUAGAUGGUUUUGUUAGCCAUGGCUCCAGAGAUCAAGCUGUGGCCUUUUUUCAGGGAUGGCAAGCUUACCUUCUUCUUUGUGUGAAGGCCCUUUUAUAUAAUGUUAUAAGCUCUGCCCCACUCUUUAAUGGUGGUGAGACUUUUUGGCUUGUCAUGAUGUCCUCAAAGUGGUGGCAGGGUCAUCAUCACCUUGCAGGCGGCUGUCAAAGAUCGUGGAGGUGACUUGCCAUCGCUCCUGUCCUUUCGCUCUGCAGGCGACGGAACAUGGGCUGUGGCAGGCUGUCGGGGAUGACUCAGCAAGGCUUGCUCGUUACAGUCAAUGAUCCGGACAAUAGGUCCGGAUAGGAUAGAGCAUUGCCCGGGUAUGAUAUUUGAGAGUGUCGUGUGCCCUCCCUUGGGGACCCGGAUAGAGGUGCGCGCCACGUGUCCUCUUUGGGGGUACGGAUAGAGUUGAUCCGGACAACAGUGCAUGCCAUGUGUCAUCGGGGUACGGAUAGAGUUGAUCUGGACAGCAGUGCGUGCCACGUGUCAUCAGGAUGGGGGAGGGUCCUUACAAUGCCCCCCUUUUAACUUGGCGAUUUUGCCCAGGCAAAAUGGAUGGGUUAAAAAUGAUGGUUUUGAAACUUAGGUUACUUUUUUGCGCUUAUUGGGCCACGUGGCAGUGCGGAGGUGAAAAGAAAGAAGGGCGUUUAUGACGAGCCGCCGUCCUUGGGAAUUCCCAGGCAGUGUCUUUUCAAUAACGGCACAGCUGGCCGUUUGGAGUACCGAGGGGCUGUCUCUCUUUAAAUAGCAAACCAAGCCCCCUACGCCUACAUUUCUUCCUUCUGUAUUUCUGCUGGUCGUGCUUUCUCUUCGGCUUUCUGUGUAUCUUCACCUGUAAGUGAAGUUCUAGGGCUUCUGUUAGCGACAUUCGUGUCGUGAGGGUGACUGCAUCGCGGGCUUCAUCUUCUUUUUGCCAGUUUGUGCUAGGUACGUUCUCUGUUCCUGCCUUCUCCUUGUUGUGUUUGUUUUUUGAUUGUUUCUGGCUUGUUGGGUAAGCUACUUGUGAUUGGGGGUUGGUACUAGUGCUCAAGGGUUUUUCGGGGGGUUUUGUUUUUGUUUUGAGUGCGUUAGGGUUCCUGUUGCCUUCUUGCACCUUUUGCGGGUGACCGAUCCCGCUUUGGGGUAGAGCCAAGGGUUAGGAUGGGGAUGUUGGGUAUUUUAGGUUUUCUAGGCGUUUUUGUUGUUGGGGCUGUGGGGUCGGGUCCUUGUUUUUUACUGUUGGCAUCCCGCCAUGCAGGUUCCGUUUCAACCCCACGCUUUAAAAUGCUUGCAAAAAAGGACGUUGCUUCGUCCAGUGCAGCCGGGCAGAGCGGCAAGGAUGCGUCCAGGGUGGUAUAUGCGGAAAAGUCUGUUGACAAGCUGAACGUGAGGCAGUUCUGUGAACGCUUCUGCAUUCCAAAUGGCAUGUCCAUUCAGCUUGUGGACGGAGAGGCCGUAUCCACCGAGAAAUCCGCGGACAACGCUAUCUACUUCACCAAGGAGCAAUUCAAUGCGGGGCUCCCGUUCCCUCGCCCGUCCUUGUUCAAAGAGUUUCUUCACUUCACCCAGAUCCUUCCGGCCUACAUCCAUCCUAACAUAGUCCGGGUGCUGAUGGGGUGCAGCAUUCUGAGCAUGCUGUUUAACUUGGACCUUUCGCUGCUGGAUGUCCUUUUCAUCUAUUCUAUCAAGAAGAAGAAAACUGACCUCUUCAGUCUGGCUGCCUAUAUGUCGUCCCUCCAACUGGUGACUCAUCUUCCAGAUUCGACGAAGGGGGGAUCCAAGGGACAUGUAUUAGUGAGGGGUGUCUGGGCUAGACUAUUGGAGCAUCCGGAGAAAGCGUUUUCCCCAAAUCGUUCGCUGGUGCUCCCGGGUAGGGCAGCUUGUGGGGUUUGUCCGAUGUUUACCUGUUGUUCUCUUACUUUAGUGUUAUCAGAUGGCUAACAUCUUUGGUUGUUUGACAACGUAGGUACGGACAUGAGGGGUCGCCUAGUCGAGUGGGUGGAAAAAGCUUCUUUCGACCACUUGAACAAGUUAUUCGAGAUCACUGCAGUUGAGAGGUAUCAUCAGACGUUGCUUACUACCCGAAACUUGUUGGCACUUGUCUGGGAGCCUCAGUCGUACGUCACCAACAUUUUCCCUAGGCGGUUGCCAAAACGGGUAGUGUCUGGGGAGCAUUUUGUAUUGAAAGACUUGUCCUCUUACGAGAGGGCUCGUAAGGCUGAUGCAAAGGCCCGCCAAGAGCGCCUUGACCAGCGAGAGGAGAAGAGGCAGGAGGGGACGUUAAGGAAAACACCUGGUGAGAAGGGGCGCGACUCUCUUCCAGCGGCUCGUCCCCAGGAUACAAAGGAAAAGAAGAAGAGGAAGAAGACGAAGAAGACACUUGCACAAGUGCUUCGGAUUGCGGCCCCCACUCUAGAGGCUUCGUCUUCGUCUUGUAGGUCCGGGCCCAGCUGGCCGGACCACACUAUUCCAGAGUCUGAGGAGGUUGAGGAACCUGAGGCUACCUCCAGUUACCUUCAGCUUGUAGUCUUCCACCAAGGGCCUAGCUCUCCCCAGCCUGACCCGGAGUUUGUCGGUUUGCAAGUUGCGGACGAGCCAGAGGAGAUGAGAAGCACAAGUGACCUUAGGGCGAGGCUUAUGCAAAGACAUAGCAAACGACUGCAUGUCCCCAUCGACCUUGGGCCUCCCCCAGCUAAGAAAGUCUGCCCGGAUCGGGGUGGGGAGGACCCGGCGCCAGAGGUUCCAGCUCAAGCUGCAACCUAUCCGGACGGGGAUAGUGCGAGCGCAAGUGUCCUGGCUUCGUCGGAUGUCGUAGAGUCUAGCGCGGCAGCUAUGGUUCAGGCCAACGCUUCGGGGCGUAGCUCCCCUACUGUGGUGGGGACCCCUAUGCCAAAGGGGGUUCCAGAGGCAUCGAACGGUGAGGAGGCUCCGGUCGAGAAGAGCAGUUAUACUGCAACAAUUCCUCCAAGCUGGGAGGAACUUAUGGAUAUGCCAAAGGGGGUUCCAGACGUAGAAACACGACACCCUCUUGGUAUUUCUGAGUCCGCUGUGUCCUGCGUUCAGCACCUGCAGGAAUGGUCGAUGCCAGAGGCUGCAAAAGUGGUAAAUACUUCUUUGCUGUUUUUCUCUUGUUUCUUGGCAAUUACCACUUUUCCAUGUAACUUUGUCUGCUGUUUUGUUGUCGCUUUGCCCAGGUUAUAUCCGACAUUCGCUACAUGACGCGCACACGCGAGCAGCUUUUCCAACGGUUGAAGGUGGCAGAGGCCAUGCGUGCCUUUAUCUCCCAGCAUCCGGGUGGCGUCGAGGAGUUGCAAGCGCAGUUGGAGAAGGUUGAAGCCGAGCUGGCUUUUGUGCGGAAAGCGGUGUCGGAUGGGGCGGAGCGGUUGUGCCAGGUUGAGGGGGAAAAGGAGGCUAUCCGGGCUGAGGCUGAUACUUUAAAGAAAGAAAAAGAAGCCUUGGAGGGCCUAGUCAAUGAAGCUGGGCAGGAAAAACUCCAAUUGAAAAGAGAGACGGAGGAACUCCGGGCUAGCCUAGCUGCCCAGAAGAAGGAGUCAAAAGAUUUGCGGGUGGGUAUGGUGGCUCAAAAAGAGGAGAUGGAGGCUAGAUUCGCCGCACAAAAGAAUGAGAUGGAGGAGGAAUAUCAGCAGCAGGCGGACGAGAUGUAUUUCUUUGGCUACCGCUGCUGUAUGAAGAAGCACGAAAUUAUGCAUGAUAUUCCUUCUUUCCCUUCUGAUGAGGAGGAUGAGGCGCCAAGGGGUCCGUCCAGCUGAGACUUCCUUUUGUGUAGGCUUUAUAACUUUUCUUUUUGUUUUGCUACGUACGGGGCAGCUAUUUUUUGUAAAGACACUUUGUUCCUUAUCUUAUAAAUACAUUACAUUUAUUCUGUCUUUUUUGCUUACUCUUCAUCUCCUUUCAUUGAUAAUAUUGCUUAAGAUUGGAUACAUUCCAUGGACGGAGCAGCGAGGUUCCGUCUAACUUCUGUAGAUGAUAAGCUCCGCUUUCACUUAUCUUGGAUACUAUGUAAGGGUCUUCCCAAUUGGCUUGGAAUUUUCCUGCUCCUGUUUCAACAGUGUUUUCGAAAACCUUCCUAAGGACCAGCGUUCCACUUUUGAAGCUCCUAGGUCUUGCCUUGCGGUUAUAGUGAGCGGCUGCUCAUUGCUAAUAGUCGGCCAUUCGGAUGGAUGCGCUCUUUCUUACCUCGUCCGCCCAGUCCAAAUUUUUUCCUAGUUCCGCAUUUGCAUCACCCUGCCGUUCUGCCUUGGUCCGGAUAGUGGGUAGCCCUAUUUCUGUAGGAAUGAUUGCAUCCAUACCAUAUGUGAGGGCGAAGGGAGUAUUUCCUGUCGGUCGUCUGGGUGUGGUUCAAUAAGCCCACAGGACGCCGAGUAGCUCCUCUACCCACUUCCCUUUGGCUUGUUCGAGCCUCUUCUUUAAGGCAGUUACUAGGGUUUUGUUUGUGGCCUCUGCUUGUCCAUUGCUUUGAAGAUAACGCGGUGUGGAGUAUAAAUUCCGGAUGUUGAGUUCCGAACAGAAAUUCCGGAAAGUGAUGCUAUCAAACUGUGGGCCGUUGUCAGCUAUAAUGGUUUGAGGGAUUCCAAAGCAGCAGAUGAUGUUCUUCCAUACGAACUAGGUGACAUCUUUAUCCUUGAUGCUAGCGUAUGCUUCAGCUUCCACCCAUUUACUGAAGUAAUCUGUGGCGACAAGCAGAAAUUUCUUCUGAGCAGCUGCGGCUGGUAGGGGUCCUACUAUAUCCAUGCCCCACUGCGCGAAAGGCCAAGGGCCAGAAAUUGGUUUUAAUGUCUCCGACGGCGCAUGCGGUAUGGGGGCAUGCCUUUGGCACUUGUCGCACCUUUUGACAUAAGUUGCUGCAUCUUUUUUCAUUGUGGGCCAAUAAUAUCCUUGCGAGUGAGCCCGGUGCGCUAGAGAUCGACCUCCGAAAUGAUUUCCACACACUCUCUCAUGUAACUCAACCAACACAUACAGGGCUUUUGAGUGGUCUAGGCACCUGAGGUAGGGGCCUGUAAAGGACCGCUUGUACAGGUGCCCCCCGAUCAGGGUGAAGUGGGCUGCUUGUACCCAGGUCUUAUGUGCCUGCUUGGGCUCUUCGGGCAAAGUGCCUGUCCGGAGAUACCUUAUUAUGGCUUCCGUCCAGUCUUAGCCAUUUGCUUGGUUUGCCUCAAUGGUAUUGCAAGUGGAGGCUUCUGCGACGAAGGGGUUGGUUUGCACAUGUAUGGGCAAUAAUAUGGCUUCUUUGAUGGGGGAGGGAAGCGGCUAUGCCUGCCAGGGCGUCAACGCGUCCAUUUUCAGUUCGUUUAAUUUUUUCGAUUGUCCACUCGGAGAACCGUUGUAGGGUGUGUCUUACUUUAGUCAGAUAUCGCGCCAUGUGCUCAUCCUUAGCUUCGUAUUCUUUCUGGACAUGCCUUACGACGAGUUGGGAAUCACUAUAAACUCGGAGCCUGGAGACGGACGGGGCCAGGGCGAGGUCCAACCCGGAUAGGAUGGCCUCAUACUCUGCUUCAUUGUUAGAGGCGGGGAAUCCCAGCCGGAUAGCUUGCUCCAACUGUUCUCCUGUUGGGGAUUGCAGUAGGAGCCCUACUCCGAAUCCUGAUGACCAGGAGGCCCCAUCAACCUGCAAAGUCCACCACUCUUCUCCGCGUGGUUCCUUAUGUUGGGCAGAUCUUUGGGAGUAUUCCACCACAAAGUCAGCCAUUACCUGCCCUUUCAUGGACAACCUGGGUUGGAACUCAAUUCCAUAUUUGCUCAACUCUAUGGCCCAUUGAAGCAUUCUUCCAGUCAGGUCCGCCUUGUGCAGGAUGUUGCGAAGGGGCUGAUCGGUGAGCACGACCACCGGGUGGGCUUGGAAGUAAGGGCGGAGCUUCUGGGCAGCGCUUCGAAGGGCCAAAGCCAUUUGCUCCAUCUUUGAGUACCUUGUUUCUACGUCAGCCAACGCUCUAUUGACAUAAUAAACAGGUUUCUACUCCUUGUAUGAGGAGCAGCGGAAUAGAACAGAGCUAAUUGCCCACUCCGAUACAGCCAGAUACAUAUACAAUUUUUCUCUAGGGAAGGGACUGCUUAGAAUGGGUGGUUGCAUGAGGUAGUGUUUGAUUUUUUCGAAAGCGCUCUGGCAACUGUCCGUCCACCCGUUCGCGCCGGCUUUUCGUAUCGCUAGGAAGAAGGGUCGCAGUUCAUCAGUGAAGCGGGCUAUAAAGCGUCCUAGCACGACGAGCUUGCCUGUGAGGCGCUGUAAUUCCUUUUUGCUCUUGGGGGGUGGUGUUUCCAUGACUAUCUUAACUUGAUCCGGGCUAAUCUCUAUCCCCCUUUGGCUGACCAUAAAUCCCAGGAAUUUGCCAGCACUUACGCCAAAAGCGCAUUUGGACGGAUUCAACUUCAUGCCAUACUUUCUUAAGAGGUGGAAGACUUCUUGCAAGUGGAGGGCAUGUUCCCUUCGGGUUUUGCUUUUAACCACGAUAUCAUCAAUGUAUACUUCCAUUGUGCGGCCGACUAGAGGUUUGAAGAUUUUUGUCAUUAGUCUCUAAUAGGUGGCGCCAGUAUUUUUGAGUCCGAACGACAUGACUUUGUAGCAAUAAAGCCCAUGCGGCGUUAUGAAGGCUGUUUUCUCUUCGUUGGCCGGGGCCAUGGGGAUUUGGUGGUAUUCGGAGAAGGCAUCUAAGAAGGAGAGCAUUCCUUGUCCGGCAGUGGAGUCUACAAUUUGGUCUAUCCGCGACAGAGGGAAACUGUCUUUUGGGCAUGCAUUAUUGAGGUUGGUGUAAUUGACGCACACCCGCCACUUGCCUUCUUUUUUGGGGACCACUACCACAUUUGCCAACUAGUCCGGAUAUUCCAUGUCUCUAAUGAAUCCGACUUCUAGCAAUUUGUCAAUCUCAUCCCUGAUAAUCUUUUGCCUGUCUGGGUGGAAACGUCUGAUCCUCUGUCGGACGGGUCUUGCUGUUGGCAAGACGUUAAGCCUAUGAGAGACGAUGGAGAGGUGAAUUCCCUUAAUAUCAGAAUGCGCCCAUGCAAAAACGUCAUGGCUUUGUUGGAGGGCAUCUUGGAUGUUUUUGGCCUCUUCCGGUGUCAAGAGGGAACUGAUAUGUGUGAGGUGAGUACUUUCUUCCGAAAUCUGGAUCGUCCGUAGGGAUCCGCUGUCGGGGGAUCUUUGUCCGUCAGACAUCGGUAAUUGCUAUUGGUCAAGUGCGUGGGUGAGCUCAAUAAGGGGUUUAUCCUCUUGGCUGGUCCCUACUUCUCGCGCUAUCUGAUAGCAUUGGCGAGCGGCUAAUUGGCUGCCGUAUAGGUCGAUUUGCCCGUCUUCAGUGAGAAAGCUUACCAUUUGAUGGUACGUAGAGGGGAUGACUUUCAUGUAGUGCAGCCAUGUGUGCCCCAAGAUAGCAUUGAAGGGUGAUAAAUCUUGUACCACCGAAAAUUGUACGUUGAGAGUGACUGGGCCUGCUUGGAUUGGCAGCACAAUAUCUCCCAAGGAGGUAGUCGCUGCUCCGUUGAGUCCAGACAAGAUUCACCCAAGGUUUUUGAGGCCGGAUAGAUUGCAUCCCAUGUGGCUAAUUACCGACGCUUGUAAAAGAUCGGCCGAGCUGCCCGGGUCAAUUAAGAUGCGUCUCACGUCGAAGUCCCCCAUCCCCAGGGAUAGGAUGAGGGCGUUGCGGUGAGGUUGUAAUAUCCGUGUGGAGUCUACUGGGGGAAAAAUGAUUGUCCCAUCUAUGGGCCGGGAGCCCCCACCAGCUAUCCCAGGUCGUAUGGAGUUGACGCGUUCAUGUACCAAUGCUGCCCGCAACAACCUCUGUCUCUUUCGUUUGUAGUCGUACUCCUCAUCUAGUGGUCCUCCGUGGAUAUAGUUUAUAACGGCUUUGGGAGCGGCUGGGAUCCUGGGGGUUCCUGAGUUGUGAUUUCGGGAAGUGUCUCUAACUCUGGCGUCUGAGCGGAGGUAUUGCUUCAAAUGUCCCGCUUUUAUAAGCCUUUCCACCAAAUAAUGGAGGCUCCUGCAUGUCUCCGUGGUGUGACCAUGCUCCUUAUGGUAAGCACACUUCUUACUAUGAUCCCUUUAGGCUGGGUCCGCUCUGAGGGGUUCGGGCCACCUGAAGUCGGACAGGUCUUGGAUCAUAGGGAGGAGCUUCUCGUAGGAUAUGGAAAGGGGUGUGAGGGGCGGCCGUUCUGGGCUGCUUUGUCCUUCCUGCCUUCGACCGGACAGCCUUGGCCGGUUUGGAAGUUUGGAACUUCUUUCCGUACCACUUCUGGAUGUUUGACCGGCAACCAAGAUUUGUUGGGUGGCUGCGCGCACGUCAUCCUCCAGCAUUGAGUAUUUGCUUGCUCGCCGGAACAAGUCUUCCAUCGUCGUAGGAGGCUUCUUAGCGAGCGACUCGAAGAAUGGGGUGCCUGGACAAAUGCUUCGUUUGAAGAUCUGAAGGAUAGCAUCCAUGCUGUAAGCCUCUACUUGUAACACGGCCUGGCCAAACCGCUUCACGAACUCUUUUAAAGACUCAUUCUCCUGCAUUUUUAUGUUUUGUAGAGUGCUGAUGUUCUGUUUAUGCCGAGCGGAGCAUAAGUAUUGUCCCACAAAAGCUUUCGACAGGUCCCUAAAAUUAUCAAUAGAGUUAGGGGGUAGGCGGUGAAACCAUGAGAGAGCCUGCCCUUGUAAGCUGGCGGGGAAUACUUUGCAUAGCAGCGCAUCGUUUCCUAUAUCGAGAGUCAUGAGCUGUCGAUAAUGCAUGAUAUGGUCGGGGGGGGGGGGGGAGUGUCCCUACAGAAACCGCUCAUCAAAAGCAAGUAGAUGAAAUGUUCUUCUACGGUUACCACUACCAUAUGAGAAAGCAUGGUAUUACAGAUGAUGUUCCUAGUCUUCCAUCUUAUGAUGACGAUGACACCAUGCUGGGUCGCAAUAAUGUGAUGGUCGGGCAAGAUGUGCCUGAUGAUGUGGUGGAAGAAUAUGACUUCUCUAUCUUUCUUUGUAUAAGACAUUUUGUGUAACACUUGGGUCCGUUUGGUUUUUACACUUUUUAAUUGUCUAAAUACAUUUACUAGCUAUUUUGGGUUUUUUUUUAAAAUUAUUUGGUUGUUUAUUGUUUUUGACAUUAUGUCGUCUAAAUUUGGCUUGUGUUGUUCAUAAUUGUGCCAUAGGGCCUUCCCAUAAACUGCGCCAAUGUUGGUGACACAGCCAAUGAGGGGAUGAUUCGUCUAGGAUCUCAAAUGUAGAUGAAACAACCACAAUGAACUCUGUCUAGAUCUCCCAUGACAUGGACAGAUUUGUCUCCUACACUAAAAGGAUGUCCAAAUAGGUUGUUCAGGCACACACCUCCGAAGCUUAAGUCAAAGAAAUAGCUUUGGUAAGAAAAAACAAUUUAGAAAGUGAUAACAUACCUUCCUUAAACCCUUGGAUAACAUUUUAUACUCUUUCCUUUGUAACGCUUCUUCUCGAGCCAUUAAUAUGCCAUUGAUUAAGCAUUUCCAUCGUUAAUGCUCAUGAUUACUGUCUCAUAACAGUUAUUCUGUAGUAAUGAGCCUUAAAUUCAGGCAUUUGACAUCAUAAUGGUUGCGUUAAUCAAGACGUUGAUUGUCUAUUGCAAUUAGUGCUUUUCAAGCGUGCAACACUCGUGACAUGGUUUGUUUGGAUUGCCUUAAUGUUUGGCUAUAGUCUUUCACCCAUAGGCACACUGACCAUGCUUGCGUCGGACGUCCCUUUAAACAGACUUAAGUCAUUAUUGGACGAACUCAUCCUGAACAGACUUAGUCUCCCACACUUAUCACUAAUUAAAAUUACUAAACAACAUUAAAUAAAAAAUUUGUUGUAAAUUUUUUUUUAUAAAAAAACUCAUCUUAAUUUAAAAAUAAUUAUAAUUAAUUAAAAUUAAUAAAUAAUAUUAAAUAAUAAAUAUUGAAUAUAAACUAAAAUUUUGAAGCAAAAUCAUCAUAAAAUUCAUCUUAAUCUUUAUCAUUAUAACAUUUCAAUAAACUUAAACAAAAGAGUUGUAGAGUGGGACGUGGGUUUGUAUACAUGCUGUUGUGCAUGAUCCUUGGGUAGUGAAGAAUAGGUAAAUGGGGUCCAUAUGUUGUUAUGUGGUGCAUCUCUUAUUCAGAUGGUAGAGAAAACAAUUGUAAUUGGUUCUUAAUUAAAUUACAUAUAUACCAUCCUUAUUGGUUUGGUGUAGUGGAAGAUCAAUGGUUUAAACAAAAUACGGAUAAAGAAAGUAAAAAAGUUACAACAAAACUUUCAUUCCGAAUUUUAUAGUAUAAAGAUAUCAGGGUGAUUUGAUCUGCAACCAUUUUUUUUUACUCUUUCUACCUGCCUAUUAAACAAGCCAAUUGAUGAGGCACAUUUUUUCACGUGGGUUCCCACUCUAAGGUAAUAUUUGCUUUUUAUUUACAAAAAAUUGGAUUUAUCACUAAAGUUUAGCUUAUUUUAAAAGAAAAAAUAAAAUAAGAAAUAAAUUUCUAAUAUGACUUCUUAUGCUUCUAGAAAAAGAAAUGCUUGUAAAAACCACACCAUCUAGAGUUAGGUUAUCUAUUAGAAAUGUACGAUGAUAAGUAUCUCUUCCAUAUAGUUAUGGUCUCUACUACACGAAUGAGGGAAAAUAUAACAAUUAAUAAUUAAUUAAUCAUGGAUAUGAGAAUGAUACAUACAAAUAAAUAAGUACAAGUCAUAGUAAAAAUCAAAUUACAAAAAUUAACAAAAUAAAUAAAUAAAUAAAAAGCAAAUUGAUUUAUUAAGUUACUUAGAAAAAAAAAUUAUUUACGACAUAAUUUUAAGAAAAUUUGAAAGAAUUUAUUUGUAUUAAAAAACAAUUUUGAGUUGAUGAUUUCAAUUCAUUUAUUUACAAAAAGUUUCAAUUUAUUUUCAAUAAGUGAUUUGAUUUAAUUUAAUUUAUAUUCAAUUUUCACGAAAGUUAUUUACACAUAUUUUAUCAAAAGAAUUAAGAAAACUCAAUCUGACAGUAAAGAUGAUUUUUACUUGCUUUUACUAUAAAAAUAAUGAUUUUUUACAACUUUAUUUAAAAAUAUUUUGAUUUAAUUUUAUUUAAGAAAAGUAAUUUUUACAAAUUGAUAGAAAAAUGUUUUUUUUUUUUUACAUAUUUAUCUGGAAAAUAUGUUUCAAUUCAAUUUCAUUUGCAAGAAAAUUGAUUUUUAUGAAGGAAAUGAUGUUUUCAAAUUUCUUUACAAAAAUAUUAAAAUCCAAGUCAAAUUUAUUAGUAAAAAAAAAUUAAUAGGGAAAUUACUUUUUACAAAAUUGUUUCAAAAAUGUUUCAACCUUUUUUUUUUACUUAUAAAAAAUAAUGUGUGUAUAUAUAUCUACACAUAUACCUUAAGUAAUUUCCGAUCAUCUAAAUCAUUUUAGGUCUUAGGAUAAUUGAUUUUUUCAUUGUUUACUACAACUUCUUAAGAAUUUGUGGAUUUCCUAGACAUGGUUUGGAAAACUGAAUUCAUCUUAAGGUUUUAAUCUAAAGCCUAAUAGCAGAUUGACAAACCUAAAAAAGUAACCACCCAAUACCUUUUUCCUGCCCUAAUAAUGCCUGACACCAACUAACAACAAGCACAACCUAGUAAGGGAUCAGGCAAACUACUACCAACCUAGGAUAGACUAAAAACUCAAAACAAACCCGACUUCCCUUCCUGUGGCUCUAAUACCAUAGACACCCAUUGAGGUAAUAUGCAAUGAAAUGAUAGAUUAUGCCAAAACUCAAAACAAUUUAAGAGAAAUUGGAAACUAACAUAGAUAUUAAAUCAUAAAGAAAUUUAAAAUAAAGGAACAUGAAACUUAUAUAUUACAUAAGCUUGAAAAUUACAUAACUUGAAAACAUACUUAUAAAAAUAUAUGAUAUCUUACAAUGGAAGGGGAUAGGAAACCUUUUAGAAAUUUUUUAGUUUAAAGAGCUUACAUCUUGAGAGAGAAAGAAGAGAGAAGAGAGAACUUAAGGCUUAAAAUGAGUGAAUUCUGAGGUAUGAAAAAUUUCCAGUGCUUACAAAUGAGAAACAAGCCUCCUUAAAUAGGCAAAACACAUAAUCUUAAAAAGUACAAAACAGACGACAAACCACUGUUGACUUUUGACUUUGGGCGACUGAAUAUUGCUUUCGAUGGAUUAUUGUGUGCUUUUUUAUUGCUUUGAACUGGAUACUUGACUGUAGCAUCACAUGCAAGAGAAAAACUUAUGUUCGGUGCUGAAAUGACUUAAAGCUAUCGAUGGAGAAUCCAUUAAUGGCAAUAGGCUUAAGAGAAAUCUUGACUUAAUAACUUCACAUGGUGAAGAAACAGGCUUAUCUUGAUCUUCUGAUGGGAAAAAAGAUGACAUCAUAGUCAUCACCAUUGUCCUGAAGAUAAUUAGUGGUAGAAUCGUUAGAUUCAACAUAAGAGUCUUCUUGAGAAAAACUUGAGCUGCUUUGGUCUAAGAUCUUCUAAAAUUCUUGAAGAGUCUUGGUUGUGACAAGCAUAGCUUGGAGUUGCUAUUUCUUAAGAAAAAACUGGGACAUGACAUCUGAUGUCAAGGUUUAUGAUGGAUGCUUAAGGAAAUAUUGUUGAACGACAUGCAUUGAGGCAUCGUUCUUUUAAGGCAUCCCACCAUUUAGUCUUAAAAGUCCUUCCAAUAUCUGGAAAGGCUACUAAUUCAUCUACUAUAAUGGUAUAAUCACAUUGGACUAUCCAAGCAAGGCCAAAUUCAUUAAAAAGGAAUAGUAGUGGAGAGAAUGCUGAAAGUUCUUUUGGGGUGACUAAUGAACUUUUUAACAAUUCAAAACCAUCCAGGAUAGGUUUUGGGAGAAUCUUAAUUGUGGGUCCAAAACAGGUUCACCAACUGUGAAACCAAAAUGAAAAUGAAAGUUGAUGCUUAGAUGAGAAAUAAAACAUCCAUGAAUGAUGGUAGUCUUUGUUCUGGAUGAGAAAAGCAUUAAACCAAGCUCUCUGGUAGUCCUAAUAGUUGAAGAAUCUUGAUUUAAAGGGCUUGAAGAAUUCUUUUGAGAAAUUAGGGUUUCCACCCCAUUGGUUAACUGUGAGAAUUUUGAAAAUAUAGCAAGUAGAGAAUGCCAAUUCCACACUGUUAUACUUAUUAGGAUGAUGCUUAACUUUAACUGAGCCAAUUUCCACAAGGAUUUGUUCAUAAAAUUCUCUUUUUUUUCAAAAGAUCACCAAAGAGAUAAUGAAAAUUCUCAUGAAAAACUUUUGCGGCUAUCUUUUUAGGAUUUUCUUUGAAAAAAUCUCUCUCAAUAACCAUAAUAGUUUGAUUGGGAUCUUUUUGCCAAUAAUGUGAUUUUGAAGAAAGAGGAGUAGGGUUGGUAGCCACCACAAUUUUUUUGCUUGAAGCUAAUUCCUUUUAAGAGGGAUUAGCAUCAGUAACUUGCUUAAAAGUCUCAAACCCAGUAAUUAUUGGAAAUUUAGUGGCCUUAACUGGAUUUGUAGGAUCCGAAUGAUCAUAAUAAAUGGACAACAUUUUUUCAGAAAUAGUUGGAAUAGGGUUAGAAUUAGAAGGGAUAAAAGAAGAAUGAAGCCUUGUUUCUUCCUCUUCCUAUUCAACUUUUUGACUCCAAAGUAUUUUUGGAGGAGCAGAGACUUGACUAUUUUUAGAGAACUGGGAUUCUGAUGGUUUAUUAGUGGUCUUAGAUUGUUGGGUAGCUUUUUUAGGGGUCAUGAUCCUGUGAAUCCUGCAAAAUUCAUGAGUUAGGAAAUUAGGGAUUGAGUUGUCAUCUCCUUUAAUGUACUCAAUUUGAAAAUCAAAAUUACUUAAAAUAGCUUGCCAUCUUGCAAAAAUAUGUUUAGAAGCUAUAUUUUUAACAUCUUUUUUCAAAACUAAUUUUAUUGAUUUGCAAUCAACUCUUAAUGAAAACUCUUGAUUCAAAAGAUUAUCUUGAAAUUUUGAAAUACAUAAAACAAUGCUUAAAAUUUCUUUUUUGAUGGUAGUGUAAUUGAGUUGGGCAUUAUUCCAGGUUCCUCAAGUAAACCUAAUCAAUCGCUCAUGGUUACCAUUAUUCUACUUAAGGAUCCCACCAUAACCAAUAUCUGAAGCGUCAAUCUCAACAAUCUUAAAAGCUUCAGGGUCAGCUAAGGCUAGACAUGGUAAAGCCUUAAAUUUAGACUUAAUGGUCUUGACAAAACUAUUGAGAUGUUUCCAAUGUUCUUCAAUAGAAGUAGAAUACACCAAAACAUCAUCAAUAUAAACAAUGAUGAAAUCUAAAAACUGGUUAAAGAUUUCAUUCAUUAUGUUUUGGAAUUAUGAAAGGACAUUCUUAAGACCAAAGGGCAUUACAUUCCAUUCAUAAUGUCCAAAGGGUACAACAAAGGUUGUCUUAUACCUUUCUUUUUCUGCAAUUUGGAUUUUCCAAAAUCCUGAUUUCAUAUUAAACUUAGAAAAAAUCUUAGACUUAACUAACCUUUGAAAUAGGUCUUUCUUAUUUGGAAUAGGAUACCUAAUCCAUCUUAAUGCAUUAUCAAGAAACUUGUAGCUUAUUAUUAGCCUAGGUGUUCCUAUCUCUAAUUCAGCCUGUUUCUGAACGUAGAAGGUUGAACAGCUCCAAGUGGACUUAGACUUUCUUAUCAACUUCUUUUCAAGAAGAUUGAUUCGACUCAUGGUAACUUAGCUUUAAAGGCGUAUCAACAAAAUUUAUACCUUGAAUACUAUUACUAAAGUAGCCAAGCUACUAUAGCAUAGUGGUUCUAGGAUCGUUCACUGGGAAGGGUUUUCGCAAACACAAGUGAUAUUCAAAUAAGGAAAAUAGGUGAUUUUCUUAUGGAUGUUAGCUUUAAAAGAAGAUGUAAAUGUUUUAGAAAGAUUUAAACUAAUCUAAGCUAACAUUAAAGACUAAAAUGAAAGGGUGUAAAAACAAGUUUCUCAAAUAUAGGAUAGCUAUGCUCUGGCUCUUAUGCAAAUUGGAAAUCUCAGGAUAGGCUCCUCGCGUUGGGGUUGCAACUAUGGUGAUGCUUGCUUCCCAAACCGGUAUGGAUUUAGCAAAUCAAGUUUUAAUCAUUUAAAAUGGAAAAAUAGAUGGUAGUGAAUUUCAUCAAUGGUUAUUCACCUUAGACUUCCUUUGAAUGGCUCGUAAGAGAUAACUAAUGGUCUAAAGCCAAAAGCUUACCAAAUAUUGGCAACUCAAAGUCAUUCUAGGUGAUAAACUCACCUUUCAAUGGCCAUUGAAAUUGGUUCUAACGGAUUAAUGCAAAACUUGGAAUUGAAAACCUCACCUUCCAAUAGCUCGUAGGAGAUAACUAAUGGAUAGAAAUCCAAAAGCUUAUCAAGUAUUGGCCGUUGGAAGUUGUCCAAAGGAAAUAAAAACCAAACUUUGCAUUAAUGAACCUUUAAUGAAAAACGACUACCUUACCUUCCAGGUGCGAGAAAUUUCUGUGGGAGUGCAUCCAAGCCAUCACAUAACAUCCAUACUUUGAGAAACUAAAAGUUUUAGCCAAUCAUCCUUUGAGGAAAAACCCUCAAAGGCUGUUUAGCUACUAAGAAAAUAGAAACGGGAGAGCUCUGUAAAUAUUCUAAGUGUCAAACGUAAUAUGUAUUCUAUAUCUAUAUAUCAAUAUAUCAAUCUAUCAAUAUAUCAAUAUUUGUUACAACGGAUGCAAGGAGAUAUAAAUAGAGAAGUUUUUCCAACCUUCCUAGCUAAGAAAUCUUAUGAUUGGUGGAUUACAAGGAGAAGAAUGGAAAUUUAUACAAAAAUAUCCAAAAGAAAAAGAGUCGGCAAAAAUAUCCAAUUUUCGCACGUUGCAGUUCCAAUUUCGCACUUUGGUUUCAGGUGUGCGAAAUUCCCACACUUUGGACUGAGGAAUUCGCACCUUGAUUUCCAUCGUGCGAAAUUGUCCCUCAGCUUGAUGCAGUUGUCUUCCGGAGGCCAUAUCUUCCUCAUUUCAGCUCCAAAUCGUACAUGGUUUGAAUCGUUGGAUUCUUGACUUUCUGAGAUUUGAAAUGGUAUAUAGAAUGUAGAAAAUGGACUUCGGGAAGUGCUCCAAAAGUGCCAAAGAAGACUGCAGCUGCUGUCCUCUAUUUUCCUCUUUGCUUCCCUUUGCUUCUCUUUGCUUCUCUCCUUUUGUUGGCUUGCUUUGGUGUAGCUAAAAACUUGCUUUAACUUGUCCAAGAAGCUCCUCCAUCAUUUGGCAUGCUUGAAUUGAUUCAUAAGCUGAUAAAAACAUGUAAACUUGCCACAAAAUGGUUAAAACCAAUUACUAAGGACCUUAAUGAAUUAAUUGGGUUAAAUGAAUUAAUUGGGUUAAAUGAAUAUGAUUACUACUCAAAGGUGCUUAAAACCAUUAUAAUUAGGUCUACAAAAUAGCACUUUUUGGUAGUAAUCACACCCCCCAACCGACUCAUUGCUAGUCCCUUAGCAAUGGAGGAGAUAAAAACUAAGUAAACUAUAAUAAUAUACAUAAAAGGGAUCAUGCAAAGCACUCCAAAAAAUGAUAUGAGUGGCAUGAUUGGAUCAAACUCUCACAUGGAAAGUCAAGGAUAUAAAACUCAAUCAUCAAUAGGAGCUAUCAAAUAAAUUGCCUAGUCACAAUUCAUAAAGAGUAGGCAUUAUGCAAAUUUAAGCUUCAAAAUAAUUUCCACUCCCAAAGGUCCAAUCCUUACUCUUCCACAAAAAUCUGUGUUAUUUAUUAGUUUCCGGAUAUAGUAUGUCAAACUAAUCUCUCCCCUCAACCUAGUUCUUUUCAAAGCUUAGCAAACUAAUCAACCUCCAAUAGGCUAAGAACGCACCUCUUUUCUUUCACAAUUUUUUUCAUGUAGGAGUGCAAAGCUUAAAGGCAUUCUUUUCUAAAUUGUCCAUGUAACGGGGGUCCAUCGAUGACUCCCAACCAAUCAAGGUUUAGGGCAUCAAGCUUUAAGGAUUUUUCAACCACUAACUCCUCGGAUUUCACCCCGGACUUUUGAGAAUGAAUUUUAAUACCCAAGCACCUACAAUAUGUUAAACUCCACCUAUUCACCCAUGUAACGAGCAUUGAGGUCGGUGACUCCCAACCAAUUAAGGCUUAGGGCACCAGGUUUUAAAGAUUUUCACCAUAUACCCCUCAGACCUUGCUCGGGUUUCAAGGCAAGCAAACAUUUUUCUUUUUCUUUCUUUUUCCAAAGGCUCAUUGGCCUUUUACAAGGUGUCCCAACACUAUUAAAAUGAGGUCAAAGGUACCAAGUCUAAAAUUUUCCUAAGUCAAGAGGGAAAAAGUUUUUCAUCUUAUAAACGGAACCUAGUGUGCACGGUGUGUGAUAAGCUUAAAGUGGAAGAACUAAGCUUGAAUUCAAUAGAAGUUUCAACAAUUCAUCAACUUUAGUAAGCAUAAUACAAACUCUAAGACUAUGGCAAUAAGAUAAGAAUUUAAUUUUUCCCAUUUACUUUUGAGAAUUUUUCCUUAAUAACCAUGGAGAGUAGAAUAAAAACUUAAAAAAUUUUAAAAUUAAGCAAAAAGCAACUAAAUUACCAAAAUAACUUAGCAUUAAUAACAAAACUUCCUUCCUCAACUCUCCCCCCAACCAAGCUGAACAUUGUCCUCAAUGUGACAAAAGCGAUUGAAAAAUAUGGAGGAAGUGGUACCUCCUGAGUGACAUGGAGUCUGAGUCGUAUAGGAGAAACCACAUGUUUCAAAAAAAAACAAAAGAGUUAGUGAGUAGAGGAAAUAGAAAAAUGCCAAGUUUAAACAAAAAUGAUGUCUAUAUAUGAUGUAUCAUCAGUAAUACAUCCAAUCCCAGAAUAUAAGACAUCAAAACAUGGAAUUAUCUAUACUAAUAUAAUAAGUAAAUACAAAAAUUAAAGAGAUGAGCAAGUAAUAGAAGGGUCCUGUGGAGAUAUGGUGGCCUUCUGAAUGGGUUGGGUCAGGACAUUGACCUCUGCUCUGGUAGUCUCCUUAAGUGGCAUAGUCUCCUCUGCUGGAGCUCUCAACUGGAGCUAUGAGCUUUGAUGGUUUAGGGAGGUCAGAAAUGGAGUGAGAGGCUUCAUGUGUGUGAUCCCAAGGUGCAUGGGGUUCUCCUCUAGUCUUGGCCAUGAUUGAGAUGGAGAGAGGUGGCUGUUCAUGAUUUCCAGAGAGUUCUCAAAUGGUGCACGGGGGUGUUCUCUCCUCUAAUGCAUGUUCCUGAGGCUUCAAAUAGAGAGGGAGGGACGGAAUUUGGAUGUUCACACGUUUAAAAACUCUUUCAGAAGUCGAAAAUGGCUUUUAGGAAUGAAAAACAGAGUCUUGGGUGUUUAAAAAUUGGUUUAAAAGACAUUUGGACAUUUUCGCACUUUUGCGCAGUCUAUCUUCAAACAGCCAUAACUUCUUCGUUUCAAAUCCAAAUCAUGUACCGUUUGAAGCUAUGGAUUCCUGACUUCCUAAGAUUUAAAAUGAUAUAUGGUAUGCAUAAUUUGAGCUCCAUGAAGUGCUCCAAAAACGUAUCUAACAGUAGAAAAAUUUGGUGCGGCUGCAACAUUUCGUUCAGCUUUGCAUAGUCGUCUUCAAACGGCCAUAACUUAUUUGUUUCAAAUCCAAAUCAUGCAUCGUUUAAAGCAUUGGAUUCCUGACUUCCCAAGCUUAAAAAUGACAUAUCAUAUGCAUAAUUUGAGCUCCAGUAAGUGCUUCAAAAAUGUGUCCAACAGUAGCGAAAUUUUCGCACUCGAAUUCGCACGUUGGAAUGAAUUUCGCACCUUGAAUUGUGGUGUGCGAAAUUGAUGCACCUUGAACUGAGAUUUUCGCACCUUGUUUCACACGGUACGAAAAUGGGCUUGAGGUGUGCGAAAUGGCACUCAUGUGCCAGGAGGUGGUUUCGCACGGUGCGAAAAUUUUUCGCACCUUGGAUUGAGGUGUGCGAAAUUGAUGCACCUUGAACUGAGAUUUUCGCACCUUGGAAUGAAUUUCGCACCUUGAAUAGUGGUGUGCGAAAUUUUCGCACCUUGUUUUGCACGGUGCAAAAAUGGGCUUGAGGUGUGCGAAAUGGCACUCGUGUGCCAGGAGGUGUUUCGCACGGUGCGAAAUUUUUCGCACCUUGGAUUGAGGUGUGCGAAAUUCCCGCUCAGCUCGGUCCAGUUUUCUUGCAAUGACCAUAACUUUUUCGUUUCAACUCCGAUUUGGACACCGUUUGAAGCAUUGGACUCCUGACUUCCCGAGAUUCGAAACGGUAUAUAGUAUGUAUAAAAUGGACUCGAGGAAGUGCUCCAAAAUAUGUCCCAAAGUGGAAACAGAACCAAUGGCCAGAAUUCUCUCUUCUCUUCCUUUUCUUUCAUCAUUUUUGCAUUUCCUCCUACAAUGAUAACUUCAAAACUCAUCUUAAAAACAUAUUAAAACUAAAUUAAAGCUAAGAAUUCAAACUAAAACAUGCAUAAAUUUAAAGAAAGCAUAGAAUUUAAAUGAAGCUUAUCGCAUGUACCCCAAAAAGAAGAUGAACUAUAUAGCUCAUCCUCACUCACACACCCACUUCAUGUUGAAUUCCCCCUGGAUUCCAAACAAAAUUGGCAUCCUUCCCAUUUGGUCCAAGGGAAUUCGUUUCUCUUCUCUUCCCUAGAGAAGUGAAUGCUUUAAAGGAUUCAGGUAACCCUUUAUCAUCUUGAACCUUAUGAUUUUCAAUGGAAGGUUGGUCCAUAGAGUUGUCAUAGCAAUCCCCCACCAAAGUGUUGAUCUUCAACACUUUCCUUGAUCUUUUUGCAUUGGUUCCUUGAAGGUUAUGGUGGGGUUGAGGAGGAAGCUUCCUGUUCCCCCUUGCUAUGUCGAGAUUGGUGAGCUUCUCAAUGGAGUCUUGAACUUUUUCUAUCCUUAGUGAUAGAUCACUAUAAACCCCCUCCAUUCUUACAUUUAUUGAACUCUCCAUAUUAUCAAUCUUUUCAUUAAGAUGAGAGUUGAUCUUUUGUUGCUCACCUACAAAGUCCUCCAUGACUUUGCUUAUCUUCAAAAUGGCUUGCUCCAAUGAAGAUGUACUCAUUGAUGGUUGAGGUUGAGGGUGGGUUGUAAGGUUGGGAUGGUUUAUAUACUCAAAUGAAGUUGGCAUGGCUUGUGGUUGUGCUUCAGUAUGCACAUUCCUCAAUUCAAACUCUUCUAUCCUUCUAACCAUAGAUGCUAGCUUUGCCUUCAUGCUCAUGUCUUCAUUCAAAGCAUACUUACUACCCCAUUGGCUUUGUUGAACUUGCCUUUUCCCUAAUUCAAUCCGAUCCCUCAUGGAUAGGUAUGCGAAUUUUUCCUUCUCAUGAUCAUAAUGAGAGCUUUGAUCUUCAUGUGGAAUUUCCAUUUCUAAAAAAAAAUGAUAUUCAACUAAGGCUCUUUUCUUCAACUUGUACCAGGGUUCCCUCUUGGUCUCGAAUCCAACAAGGAAUGCACAAAUUGAAAUUAAAACGAAAAUAAAAGAAAACAGAAUAAAAAAUUUAACUAAAUAAAAACUAAACAAAAAAAAUUAUAAGAAAACUCACCAAACUUGUGAUGAAGAUCACAAGUUACCCUUAAUGGUUGCUUCACUGUGCUUGUGGCACCUUCCCCGGCAACGGCGCCAUUUGAUUCGACUCAUGGUAACUUAGCUUUAAAGGCGUAUCAACAAAAUUUAUACCUUGAAUACUAUUACUAAAGUAGCCAAGCUACUAUAGCAUAGUGGUUCUAGGAUCGUUCACUGGGAAGGGUUUUCGCAAACACAAGUGAUAUUCAAAUAAGGAAAAUAGGUGAUUUUCUUAUGGAUGUUAGCUUUAAAAGAAGAUGUAAAUGUUUUAGAAAGAUUUAAACUAAUCUAAGCUAACAUUAAAGACUAAAAUGAAAGGGUGUAAAAACAAGUUUCUCAAAGAUAGGAUAGCUAUGCUCUGGCUCUUAUGCAAAUUGGAAAUCUCAGGAUAGGCUCCUCGCGUUGGGGUUGCAACUAUGGUGAUGCUUGCUUCCCGAACCGGUAUGGAUUUAGCAAAUCAAGUUUUAAUCAUUUAAAAUGGCAAAAUAGAUGGUAGUGAAUUUCAUCAAUGGUUAUUCACCUUAGACUUCCUUUGAAUGGCUCGUAAGAGAUAACUAAUGGUCUAAAGCCAAAAGCUUACCAAAUAUUGGCAACUCAAAGUCAUUCUAGGUGAUAAACUCACCUUUCAAUGGCCAUUGAAAUUGGUUCUAACGGAUUAAUGCAAAACUUGGAAUUGAAAACCUCACCUUCCAAUAGCUCGUAGGAGAUAACUAAUGGAUAGAAAUCCAAAAGCUUAUCAAGUAUUGGCCGUUGGAAGUUGUCCAAAGGAAAUAAAAACCAAACUUUGCAUUAAUGAACCUUUAAUGAAAAACGACUACCUUACCUUCCAGGUGCAAGAAAUUUCCGUGGGAGUGCAUCCAAGCCAUCACAUAACAUCCAUACUUUGAGAAACUAAAAGUUUUAGCCAAUCAUCCUUUGAGGAAAAACCCUCAGAGGUUGUUUGGCUACUAAGAAAAUAGAAACGGGAGAGCUCUGUAAAUAUUCUAAGUGUCAAACGUAAUAUGUAUUCUAUAUCUAUAUAUCAAUAUAUCAAUCUAUCAAUAUAUCAAUAUUUGUUACAACGGAUGCAAGGAGAUAUAAAUAGAGAAGUUUUUCCAACCUUCCUAGCUAAGAAAUCUUAUGAUUGGUGGAUUACAAGGAGAAGAAUGGAAAUUUAUACAAAAAUAUCCAAAAGAAAAAGAGUCGGCAAAAAUAUCCAAUUUUCGCACGUUGCAGUUCCAAUUUCGCACUUUGGUUUCAGGUGUGCGAAAUUCCCACACUUUGGACUGAGGAAUUCGCACCUUGAUUUCCAUCGUGCGAAAUUGUCCCUCAGCUUGAUGCAGUUGUCUUCCGGAGGCCAUAUCUUCCUCAUUUCAGCUCCAAAUCGUACAUGGUUUGAAUCUUUGGAUUCUUGACUUUCUGAGCUUUGAAAUGGUAUAUAGAAUGUAGAAAAUGGACUUCGGGAAGUGCUCCAAAAGUGGUAAAGAAGACUGCAGCUGCUGUCCUCUAUUUUCCUCUUUGCUUCCCUUUGCUUCUCUUUGCUUCUCUCCUUUUGUUGGCUUGCUUUGGUGUAGCUAAAAACUUGCUUUAACUUGUCCAAGAAGCUCCUCCAUCAUUUGGCAUGCUUGAAUUGAUUCAUAAGCUGAUAAAAACAUGUAAACUUGCCACAAAAUGGUUAAAACCAAUUACUAAGGACCUUAAUGAAUUAAUUGGGUUAAAUGAAUAUGAUUACUACUCAAAGGUGCUUAAAACCAUUAUAAUUAGGUCUACAAAAUAGCACUUUUUGGUAGUAAUCAAAGAUCCUGGAUUUCCUUCUCAUAAUAGCUUAAUAGAUCUUUAUUCAUAUGGAUGGGUCUUACUUUAGUGGGAAUAUUUUUCUCACAAAAACCUGGUUCAUAAAGUAACUUUACCUCAUGUUGUUUUCUAUACCAGGACGCAUUAAGAAUGUUAGAGCAAACUUCUCCAACAAUCUUAUUCUUAAAUCUUUCUAUGGCAUCUUGAGUUUUCUUAGCUUUCAAUAAAUCUUCAAUUCUUACAAGAUUAAUUUCUUGCCUUAAAUGGUUAACAUGAUAUUCUUUAACCUUAAUCACCUGAUCUCUUAAUGUAUUUAAAUUCCUUUCAUCGGGUGAAUCAGUGAAUUCAAAGAGAAUCUCUUUCUCUAAGAGUGUUGUUCCUAAUCCUUGGUUAUCUACUCUAAUAAGGUAGAUAGAGUUUAAAAAAGGUACACCUAGUAGGACUUUUUCCUUCAAGUCCUUGACUAGAAUGAAAGUUUGCUUAAUACAAAUGUCUUGGUUACAGAUUUGCGCAUUUGACAACUUGUACUUAAUCUUAAGUCUUUUGCCAUUGGCUCCUGAAAGCAUUUGCUUAGUUUUUUCAUAAAACUGAGUAGGUACUAAUCCUUCUUUGAGGCAAUUCAAAGCUGCACUUAAAUCAAUCAAAGCAAGGGUAUUAAGGACAAACUUAUCCUUGAUAACAAUAGUUAGAGAGGCUUUCCAUUUCUAGAAAAUAAUUUUAUUGACUGUAUUCAAGUAUGAAUCUAUCACUUCAUCAUUGACUUGUGAAGAUUCUGGAACCUCUUCAAGGUCACUUUGGUUAACAACAAUCUUAUUGAUUUGAUCUUGGAGGUCUGUUAAACCCAAGCUUGUGAAUUAUCUUAAAUCUUAGAUUUAUUUCUUAUAUUGUCUUAUUUCUUCUUAAAGGUCUCUAAUGGUAAUAUCCUUAGGAGACUUCUGAUUAAAUGUUGUUAAGAUUUCAUUAAGGUCAUGGGCUUAUCGUUUUCUUAAUUUCUGGCUUAUGGACAUAUUUCUUAAAAACUUCAUAGAGUUCUUGCUUAACAUUAUCGUCUUCUACCUUUCUUAAAACAUCUAAAAUGAACUCUUGUUCUUGGCUUUUGACUUUUAUAGUCUUGGGUUAGCAAUCAUAACUGCCCUUAAUGCAAUCUUCCUAAUCACUAGAUAACUGACUAGAAUUGCUCUCAUCAAUGUCUAGAAGUUGGUUAAUGUCAUUUUCAUUAUCUGAAUCAAUCAUUGGUUUAGAUUCUAAGGAAUUUAAUAAUAUUUCACAAAGCAUUACUUUUAAAUCUUCUUAAAUGUUCAAGUUAUUAACUUUCUUCUUAACUUUACUAUCCUUCUUAUAGUAACCUACCUUACCACACUUAAAACAGACUGGGUUGGAUUAUGAGGGGGUUUCUAUCUUCUUUUGGGAUUCCUUUUUCAUUCUUUUUUGGAUGUGUCUUUGAUGUUUAGUUUCAUUUAUCCUAUAUUUUCCAUGAGUUCCUCUAUUGUUGUGAUAAAAGUUUUCCCUACUAGGCUUUCUUGUUACUUGUUUUUUCUUACGUUGCUUAAAAGGGGAAUUAGUUUCCUUUUGACUAAAUCCAAACUGGCUACAAAAUGUGUCAAACUCAUUCUUAUAUAUCUUCUGUUGCUUAAGCUUAAAGUCAUUGCAUAGGAUUAUUCCUUUUUUUGUGACUAUGCUUAUGAUUUCUCCAUAUGUCAACUUAUCAUAAGGGAUUUGUCCAUUGAAUUGUUCCCUUAUCUUAAUCGUAAUCCUCUCAGAGAAAAAUCUAGGUAAACUUGAGAUAAACUUUUAUUUCCAAAAAUACUAGUUACAGUCUGAUCUUAACAUGACUUCGGUUAUGAAUGUAUCUCUGUACCACCUGAAAUCAUGAAGCUUGGGACACUUAAGGUUGGUCAAAAGAUUUUCGGUCUUAUCCUCAAUUUUUGACAGAUUUCCAAUGAAGUGUUUUGAUAUUGAAAAUAUUAGAGUAGCAAUUGCAUCUUCUAUAUCUUGUCUUUCUUCAACUUUAACAACUUCCUUCUUCUCAUUAAUUCUAUAGGCUUUUAGCAUAUUAUUCCUAUCAUCAUGAGUGAGAUAGUUAUCCUACCAUCUUGUUAGCUGACUUGUGAAUCCAACAACAAUUGUCUGAGUUACAACAUGAUCUGACAAUCUAUUGUUCAAAUUAUAGACUGUACUAACCAUUCUCAUCUCUUGAAGCUUAGUGAGUAUGUUGUACUUAGUCAUGUCAUCUAUGUUCCAUUCAUAAAUGGCACCAUUAGUGUAAAAAGCUUGAGUGUACUGGUUUCUUUCCUUAUACUGCAUAUUAGGAAAAGCUGGCCUAGAGUAAAAAUUCUUAGUCUUAGGCAUUUCUUGGUUAUGAAAAUUCCUUAAAACUCCUUGGUCUUGAGAUUCCUCAAAAAUCAGCCUCUGCUUCAAAACUAAUUUCUUCAUCAAUAACAUUAAUCCUCCAAUGAGAUAGUUGAGGUGUCUUUGUGACAAUUAAGCUAUCUUUUACUUUUUGACUUAUUUUUUCAAUUAUAUCUUGGUUAAUAUGAGGAUUUUCUUGGAAUUUUUUAGAGAACUCAAAUGGCUUAAAUAAAGGAUUAGUGUCUUUCUUAACGAAAUGUGUAUUAAUGUGAUCUUGGGUUUCAAUGAUCUCCUCAACCCUGUUGAGUUGAUCACCAAUAGUCUUAAGAAACAUAUUAGUGUAGUUAUUUUGUUCCAUAAUUUUCUUAACGUCUACUACACUAGCAGUUCCUUUAUCCUUUGUCUUAAUCUUAGAGGAUGAAGUUCUUAUUAUUGUUCCAUUAACAUUCUUGUCUAUCUUAGCCCUUGGAGGAUGAAUGGAUUCUAUGACAGUGUCAUCACUAGUUUUCCAUAUCUUAGUUUUUGUGGAUGUGUUGUUAAUACGCUUACUAGGAUACUCUGGAUAUUUCUCUUGUUUGAAGAGUUCAAACCAGUGUUAACACUUAACAUUUUUAUGUUAUUUUCUUAAGUAUGCAUAAAAUUCUUCUUGGUAGAUGGUUCUAAAGACUUUUGGGACUUUACUAAAGAACCAAUCUUUUUUUUCCUUAUUAGUUUCUGAAUAAAAGUAUAGUUAUAAGAGUUCCUUGUUAAUCUCAAACUCUUCACUUAUAAUAUUAAUCAUGUGUUAAUAAGUGGGAGACAUAUCCAGUGACUCAUCCUGUUGUGAUCCUUGAGUGGACUCUUUUUCCUCUAUGUAAAAGGGUCUAGCUAGGUUCGUGUGACUUCUAACACUAGUUAGCUUAAUAUUCUUAGGAUUUGCUAAAGUGGAUCAUUCUUCUAUCAUAGUGGUUCUUAUUGGGAUAGAUAAGUUGGAUGCUCUAGAAGGUUCAUAUUCUGAAAUUCUAGGGGUACUAGAAUGUAUGAAUGAGUUGGAGAAAAUCAAAUCUUCUCCUCCAUUUGGGUAUUGAACAAUUUGUUCAAUCCUCUCAGUUCUUUGUUCUAUGGAUGGAACAACAUUAGCAAAAUGUCAAGUUUCUUAAAACUCAACUUUAUUUAUAUAAUUUUCUUAGGAAUGAUGAAGUUGGACUUAUUCAAGACAUAUGUGUGGAAGAGUAUAAUUUCUCCCUUAGGAUUGGUGCAUAAUGCUCCAGAUCCAACACUUGUGGUCAUACUCUUAUAGGCAAAUCUUGUGAUGAUGGAAAUAGGAUUGUUUUCUUCCUUAAACUUAAAUCCAUGGGUCUUAACAUGGAAAAGAACCGAAUCAAGGAUGUUGGCAUUUCUUAAUCUAACUGUGAAGUUAGGGUAACACUAGAAGUAAACAUGACCAUCAUUCAAUCCUGCUUGGACUACUCUUAUAAUAGAACCUCGAUAAUCAAGAUUUCUAUUAUCCCUUAAACACACGAUUAUUGAGGUGUUUAAACCUAUUCUUGUCAAAGGCUUAAUUGCAACUUGAAUCAUACCAAAGUGUAUGAAGUUGUAGUCUUUCUUAUGUCUCUCUACGAAUCUACUAUCUUUGUAAAUUAAAUUGUAAAAAUUUAUUCUUUUCCUAACAAAGGUAAAUAAAAAUCAUUUCUUUGUAAAUAAAAUCAUUUUUUUCUUUUUACAUAUAUUAUUUUUAAUAAAUUCUUUUAACAGUAUUAAGUAUAAAUAACUUUCUUGAAAAUUGAACACAAGAAAAAUUGAAUCAAAUCAUUAAUUGAAAAUAAAUUGAAACUUUUUUUUCUAUAAAUAAAUAAAUUGAAACCAUUAAUUUGAAAUUGUUUUUAAUGAAAUCCUUUGAAAUUGAUUGAAAAAAAUAUAUUUUUUUUAAUAAGUUCAAUAAGUCAAUGUGCAUAAUCCUCUUGUCACUUAUUUUGUGUAUUCUUGUAAUUAAGUUUCAUCAUUAUUUUUGUGUAUAUUGAUUUUCACCAUAACUUGUACAUACUCAUUUGUGCGAUUAUUUUUCUUGGUAUAUAUCCAUAAUUAAUUAAUUAAUUGCCACAAUUUUCUUGAUUCAUUUAGUAGAGACUGUAUGUAUACGGGCUUAGAGGGGUGUUAUGGCUCACCUGAUCCUCCCACCACCAUCUGAUCAUUUAUCUAUUUUCUUUUUUGUAUUUCUUUACUUUAGUAAAACUCAUAAUCUCAUGUUUUUGAUGUUUUAUAUAUCGGGAUUGGAUGUAUUACUUGUUUUUGCCCCAUAGUGUACUUUCUUAAAGUAAUAAAUAUCUAUCAUUUUUUUUUUUAGUAUACUUGGCAUAAUCUUAUUUUAUUUCCUCUACUCAUAAUUUUUUUUGUUUUUGAAACAUGUGGUUUCUCCUAUUCUACUCAAACUCCAUGUCACUCAGGAGGUACCAUUUCCUCCCUGUAUUUUCAAUCGCUCUUGCCACAUUGAGGGCAAUGUUCAGCUUGGUUAGGGGGAAGAGAGUUGAGGAAGGAAGUUUUGCUUUUAAAUGCUAAGUUAUUUUGGUAAUUUAGUUGUUUUUGCUUAAUUUUUAAAAUUUUAAAGUUUUUAUUCUACUCUCCAUGGUUAUUAAGGAAAAAUUCUCAAAAUGAAAUGGGAGAAAUUGAAUUUUUGUCUUUUUACUUGACUUAGAAUUUGUAUUAUGCUUAUUAAAGUUGAUGAAUUGUUGAAACUUCUAUUGAAUUCAACCUUAGUUUUUCACUUUAAGCUAUUCACACACUAUGCACAAUAGGUUCCGAUUAUAAGAUGAAAAACUAUUUCACCCCCUGAACUUAAGAAAAUUUAGACUUGGUACCUUUGACCUUAUUUUAAUAGUGUUGGGACACCUUAUAAAAGGCCAAUGAGCCUUUGAAAAAAAAAUGUUUUACUUGCCUUGAAACCCGAACAAGGUCUAAGAGGUAUAUGGUGAAAAUCUUUGAAACCUGGUGCCCUAAGCCUUCAUUGGUUGGGAGUCACCAACCUCAAUGCUCGUUACAAGGGUGAAUAGGUGGAGUUUAACAUACUGUAGGUGUUUGGGUAUUAAAUUUCAUUCUCAAAAGUUCGGGGUAAAAUCCAAGGAGUUAGUGGUCAAAAGAUCCUUAAAGCUUGAUGCCCUAAGCCUUGAUUGGUUGGGAGUCAUCAAUGGACCCCCGUUACAUGGACAAUUUAGAAAACAAUACCUUUAGCUUUGUACUCCUACAAUAAGAAAAAAAAAUGUGUGAAAUAAAUGAGGUGCGUUCUUAGCCUAUUGGAGAUUGAUCAGUUUGCUAAGAUUUGAAAAAGAACUAGGUUGGGGAGAGAGAUUAGUUCAACAUACUAUAUUCGGAAGCUAAUAAGUAACACUUAGAUUUUUGUGGAAGAGUAAGGUUUGACCUUUUGGGAGUGGAAAUUCUUUUAAAGCUUAAAUUUGCAUAAUGCCUUCUCUUUAUGAAUUGUGAUUAGGCAAGGUAUUUGAUAACUCUUGUUGAAGUUUGGGUUUUAUAUCUUUAAUGUUCCAUGUGAGAAUUUGAUCAUCAUGCCACUUAAAAUUUUUUGAAGUGAUCAACAUGAUUUUUGUAAAUUAUAGUACUGUUUAUUUUUCUUUUUCUCUCCUUCAUUGCUAAGGGACUAGCAAUAAGUCGGUUAAGGGGAGUGAUUACUACUCAAAAAGUGCUAUUUUUUAGCUUGUAAAUAACUCUUUUAAACACUUUUGAGUAGUAGUUAUUACCUUUUAACUCAAUUGGCAUGUUAAGGACUCUUGCAAGUGUUUCUAAUCAAAUUGUGUUAAGUUUUGGUUUUUUUUUUAUAGCUUUUUUUUAUCACCAAAGCAAUCCAAGAUUGAGGAGAGUUCUAUAGAAUCCAUGGCAAAAUAAAUGGAAGCUCAUUUUCAAGAAGAAUCCAAGCUUUGGAGCUUUGUAGUCCUUUUCCAAAAGCAAAUCAUGAAUGCAAGGAGGAGAAACAAAGAGAGAAAUCUAACAUGAAGAAAUUCAAGAGGACAGCAACUGUUGGACACAUUUUGAGCACUUCCUGGAGUCCAUUUUAUACAUACUAUAUGUCGUUUUGAAGCUCGGGAAGUCAUGAGUCCAACGCUUUAAACGGUGCACAAAUCAAAGCUGAAAUGAAGAAGUUAUGGCCAUUGGAGGCAAAUUGCACCAAGUUAAAAGGCAAUUUCGCAAGCUGCGAAAUCACAAAGUGCAAGCUGCGAAAUCGGCCUUUUUGUGCGAAAUGGAGACUUUCAGCUUGCGAAAUUUCACAGCUCAUGUUGCAUGCUGCGAAAUCCACCUGAGUGCUUCCAGAUAUUUGCGAUCGACUCUCUUUGUAAUCCACCAAUCAUAGGAUUCCUUAGUUAGUAAGUAAGAAGAAAGGGUGAAUAACCUCAUAUAUAUAUUUUGUAAUUUUAUUUACACAAGACAUCUUGGGAGCUUGUUCUCAGAUACCAACUUUUGUAUAGUUUUGAAGAAAGUAAUACACAGAGCUUUGCUCUACCUUACCUACUCAUUUUGAUUGUAUUUUGCUCACCAGCCAAACAAGCUCUGAGGAUGUUUCCUUAGAGAAUGAGUGGCUAGGCUUUUUGUCUCUUGGAGUUAAGGAAGCUGGGUAAGGUGCCGAAUGUAAAAAUUGGAAGUUUUUUUGUUUCAGCUUUUAAUGAAGAGAAAGUGUGACCCGUUAAUGGUUUCUAUGUUUUUAGUUAACUUCAAACGCCUUUAAAUCACCUGGGCCAACACUUGGUAAGGCAAGUGAUCUCCGUCCAUUGAGAUGCACUAGUUUAUCUCUUGCGAGCCUUUGGGAGGUGGUUCAAAGGUAGGAUUUUCUAGAAUAGCCAACACUUAGUAAGCUUUUAGACUCUAAGGAGACAUCCAUUAGUUAUCUCUUGCAAGAUUUUGAAGGGAAAUCCAAGGUUAAGGAUCACCUUGAAUGACAAAUGCUAGGUAAGAGGCACGAGCCAUUGCAAGAUGAAUCAAUGAGAGAGAUUUAGUGUUUGAAUCCAUUAAAGGGAAGCAUUUGUACCACACCGGUUCGAGAAAUAACUAUAUGUUAAUUCUCCAAUGCGAGAAAAAGAUUCAAGUGAUCGGAACUCUAUUUUUGUAUUAGGAGCCUGACCCCAGUGAUCCAAAAACUCCAAGAAACACUUUUCUUUGUAAUUAAAAUCAGUUACUAUUUUUGGUUAUCUUAAAACCAAUCCUUUUUCAACCAAAGUUUAUGUUUUCUUUUAAAGCUAACCUUGAAAUGAAAAAACACCAAUUCAACUUUGAAUUAAUAUUAGUUGUAAAUUGAAAACCCUUCCCAGUGAACGAUCCUAGAGCCACUAUGCUAUGCUAGCUGAGGCUAUCCUAGUACAUGGUGAUAUAGGUUAUAAAUUUUUUUGAUUACUCCCGUCUGAGGACCGAAAUCAAGGUACACCAGUUGAUUGAACACCAAUCAACAAGACAUACACCAGCUGGGCACGGAAAUCAAUGUAACUGUCUCAAAAUUGUGGAGUGAAAAAGGGGUACAAGGUGCAAUCCUAAGGCGGCUAAAAUUGGAUGUAGAACAUAAUGACGAUGUCAACGAAGCUGCUUUGAUAAUAUCUGAAGAAUUGAAGGGAAAGAAGUGUUUGAUUCUUUUGGAUGAAGUGUGGGACUAGAUUGAUCUAAAUAGAAUAAUGGGAAUCGAUGAGAACCCGCAUAACAAGGUAGUGUUGGCAAGUAGAUACCAAGAUAUUUGUUGUGUCAUGGACGCUGAUGAUCUAGUUGAUGUGAAGCCGUUGUCACAUAUUGAUGCUUUUAACAUAUUCUAGAAAAAGGUUGGCCAUUACAUUUCUAACCGCUCAAUUAGACCACUAGCUUGGGGUGUGGUUGAUGAGUGUCAUGGGUUGCCACUACUGAUAGACAGAGUAGCAAGAACCUUCAAAAAGAAGGGGGAAAAUGAAGUGCUUUGGAAUGAUGGAUUGAAACAGUUGAAAAGAUGGGACAGUGUCAAGCUCGACGACAUGGAUGAAGUGCUAGAACGCUUACAGAUUUGUUAUGAUGAUUUGAAAGAUGGUGAAGAGAAUCUUUGCUUUUUGUAUGGUGCAUUGUAUCUCGCAGAAAGAGAGAUAGAUGUAGAUUACUUGUUAGAAUGUUGGAAAUCUGAAGGUUUUAUUAAUGAUGCAAGUAAUUUCAAAAGUGCGCGCAACAGAGGGCAUUCGGUACUAAAUGAGCUUAUCAAGGUAUCUUUGCUGGAGAGAAGUGAUAAUAGUAAAUGUGUUACGAUGAAUAAAGUGCUUCAGAAAAUGGCGCUUAGGAUCUCAUCGCAAAAUACAAAGUCCAAAUUUUUAGUGAAGCCACCUGAGGAGUUCGAAGAUUUCCCCAAGGAGGAAGAAUGGGAACAAGCCAGUCGGAUUUCUUUGAUGGGGAGCCAACAAGGACUUUUACCAAAAACUCUAGAUUGUUCUAGUCUCUUAACAUUGUUGCUUCGAAGUAAUAUGCACUUAACUUCCAUUCCUAAGUUUUUCUUCCAAUCAAUGUCCCAACUCAAAGUUCUAGAUCUCCAUAGCACUGAGAUUGCAUUACCUCCAUAGCACUGAGAUUGCAUUACUGUCUUCAUCCUUAUUCAACUUGAUUUACCUCAAAGCGCUCUAUUUAAAUUCCUGCUCUAAGUUGGAAGAAAUCCCAUCUCGUGUGAAAGCACUUACGUGUCUUAAGUGUUGGACAUUCGAAAAACCAAACUCAAUUUACUUCAAAUUGGAAGUUUAGUAUCAUUGAAGUGUUUGCGAUUAUCAUUGUGUAAUUUUGAUAUUGCAAACUAUACUGAAGCACAAGUGUCAACGUUUGAUUUGUUGCAGGAAUUGAAUAUUGAUGUUGGUUCACUGGAAGAAGGGUGGGACAAGAUUGUAGAUCCAGUAAUAAAGGAAAAAAUUGACUUAUCUUCGAUUUUGUUUCCCUAAAGUAGACUGCCUUGGCGUAUUUGUUCAAGAAUGACCUGUGUGGGAGGAGGGUUCCUUGACAUUUCAUUUUGCUAUUGGUUGCCAUAACUCAGCC